GUGGCUAAUGCUUAGUUGUAUGAAUGAGUCUAGGUAUUUGAUAUAUCGGCUGCCUCUAGUGCUAAUCAUUAUGGUCACCUGUUAGCUCUUGGUAUGGGGUAACUGUGAGGGUAUAUUAUCUAUUUUUGAAAUUGGUUGGAUUUUCACCUCUUUAUUUUCCGUUUAAGAUUGGAGAUGCUUAUCUCUUGUUGCAACUUGCAAGUACAUUUAUCUUUUAUGGACAACUUGUUACCCUUCAGUUCUGAAUAUUGAUAUCGCCUUGUUCUUAUGCACAUGUUAAAGACUGGAGAUGCCUAUCUCUUGUACGUUUAUUAUUCUUCCAUUUUAUUUCACUUCAUUAGGGGAAGAGGAUUUUUCGAGGGGAGGAGAAUAACAUGACCCUCUCUGUGUGACCAUUCUCCUAUUUGAAUUCUGACUAUGCUGUCUGACUAAAUCUAUUUUUGAGCAUCUUGCGAUUUUGUUUACUGUGAUGUUAGUUUACAGAUUUUUCUCAUCUUUUUCCAAAAUUGUGCAGUGAGUUCCUAAACAUGCAAAUUGAAUUAUUUGCAUAUUGUCUGAGAUUAUAACUGUUUGUCCAAGAAGACGACAUUUUCCUUCAGUGAAAUGUGAUCACCAAAGGUUUUGAUCAGUCAAGGCAUGCAUUUUCCCAUCAUAAACCUGAGCAUUGCGAUUGUCAAGUCUUGGUUCCAGCGACAGUUUUCUUUACCUGUAUAUAUAAGCGUGAGCCUGAGAGACUAUCUAGAGGAUGGCCACUGACAGAGAAAAUAAGCCAAGAACUAUAUAGUCACCAAGGUGUCUCUUUCUUGUUUUCAAGCCCAAAACGCCGUUGCAUCCCGAACUCCCGGUUCCUUCCAAUCAGAUACCAGUGAGGAUUACAACAUGGAAAGCCUCUAAGUAUUGUCCAUAAUUAAGCGGAAACUAUAUCUUUCUUUGGCAGAGAAAUAACAGAGUAGUAUUGAUCCAGUUAACAAACAUCAAAACAUAGAUGAAACUAUUUUGACAUCUCCUAAUAAGGAAUUAAAGAGCAGGGGCGCCUUGCUUUACUAACCGGAAGCAUUCUAAGGAAACAAAAUAACCAGAGCCAAUUGCCUGGUAAGCCUGGAGAAAUGCACUGGACUACCAAGGCAAAAUAAAUAAACAAAGUGAUGCCACUUUUGCAUCUCCUCCAUAUAAAGCAAGCACAUAGGCAUUCAUAAAACAACAGAACCACCUGAUACUGUCACAAAGUCUGGAAACCAGGCAAGUACCCAUUGCAACUAAAAUAUCUACUAAUGUUAAAGAUCUACUAGAAACCAUGAACUGUUACCAUUGCCAAAAUACUAGGCAUCACUCUGCCGAGGGCAUGGCAAUCAGCUUCAUCACAACAAAAGGGCAGCUCACAUACACAUGCUGGAAGCUGUCAGUGGCCACAACUGCCCUCCAGUUUGCAGGGGAGCUGAGGAAAUCAAAGCAUGCCUUCUUCAGCCCAACACAGUGGUGCUGAUCAGCGAGAGCCAGGAUGGUUGCAACUAUGCCCACAUCGAUGUACUCACAUAGCUUUUCCUCGCAAACCAGCUUCAGCCUCUCCAUGUUAUACCUGUCUGCCGCGACAAGUAGAUGCUGGAACACGGUAUCUUCAUCUUCUUCUUUUGUCUCUAGUAACUUGUCGGUGUAGGCGAAAUAGAGCAAUGCAUUUGAACACGGUAUCCACAUCGAUGUACUCACAUAGCUUUCCAAAACUGAUGAUAUUCUUUGAAAUACGGGAACAUUUUUGAAAAAAAUUGAUGACUUUUUUUGAAUUUGUGAUUUUUUUUAAUUGAUGAACUUUUUUCAAAUUUUAUUAUUUUUUUGUGAAAAUAGUGAAUGUUUCUAAUCGACGAACUUUUUUUCUAAAAUUGAUGAACUUUAUUUUUCAAAUUGAUGAUUUUUUUUUGAAAUUCGUGAACUGUUCUUUCAAGUCAAUGAACGUUCUUCAAAAGACCAGUUAUUUUUAGAAAUUCGUGAGUUUUUUCAAAAUCAUUGAACUCUAUUCAGAUUUGUGACAAUUUUUUCAAAUUCGAUCAUUUUUUUUGAAUUUUCAAAAUCCUUUUGAAUUUAAGAAUUUUUUUAACAUUUUGUGAACUUUUUUAUAAAAGUUAAUAGCCAAACAACAUGGUCAGUUGUGCAUGAUUACGGUGAACAGUCAACUACUACUUGUUCUGUCAAAAAACAUUUUACACUAUGAAACGGAGGGAGUGGCUACCUUUUCUUUUAGAAAUGGCAACUAGCGACUUUUUUUCUUUGAGGUGUGGCAACUAGCGACAUGGGAUUUAGCAAAGAGCGACCCGAGCGAGUGAGAGGAGUAACGAUGGAGCGCUCAUGCUUAAUGGGCCGGAUCAAUCAACUUUCUAUGUGGGCGCCGGAACCACGAAUCGGCGCUGAAGGCACCAUUAGAUGAGAUCAUUAAUUGAGAAGUACUGCUUUCAAGGAUCAUUUUCACCUCGCCAGGUUGCGAAAUAUGAUUUUUUUUCUUUUUAUAUGGAUUAGUUUAUUCAGAAUGUUUUAUCUCUUAAAUCAUACAUCCAAAUCUUGAACCGUUUUUACCGUUGGAUUCCUUGUAUCCAGACCUUCAAAACUAGAUCCAUGUUGAUAGGUUUUGUUGAACUUUUUUUUUCAUGAAAGAACCGGAUAAAAAACCAGAUGAAAAAAACCAAACUGAAAACACGCUUUUUUCCCUUUCUGAAAGCCUUUUCCUAGAGACACGGGCGGAAGCAAAAACCGUGCCUCUCACGGAAGAAAAAAAACAAUAGAAAACAUGUUUUUUCCGUUUUUGAGAGGCACGGCCAUGCCUCUCGCGGAAGCAAAACCGUGCCUCCUACAGAAGCAAAAUCGUACAUCUCACGGCAGGAAAAAAACAUGUUUUUUUGCCGAGAGGCACGAGCAUGCCUCUCGCGGAAGCAAAAUCAUGCCUUUACGGAAGAAAAAAAAUAGAAAACAUAUUUUUCCAUUUCCAAGACGUAUGGUCGUGCCUCUCACGAAAGCAAAUCCAUGCCUCUCGCGGAAGCAAAACCAUGCAUCUCGCGGAAGCAAAAGGAAAAAAAAAGAAAACCAUGUUUUUUUUCAUUUUCGAGAGGCCGUGCCUCUCGCGAAAGCAAAUUCACGCCUCUCGUAGAAGCAAAAAAAAUGUGUUUUUCUUGCGAAAAGUAAUUUUUUUUCCAUUUUUUCGCCCAAGAGCUUAGAAAGGGCGGUGGAAGACCCAAAAGCCAAAAAACAGAAGAAAGCCGUCCAAAAAGUCAAAAACGAGUGCGAAAAUAUAUUAAAUAUGCGAGGGAGUGUCUAGAGCGCGACACUUGAUGACGGCUAAGAGCGUGCAAAGUGACGCGCUCUUAGCCCACCCCAAGUGAUCGUUGGGAUGCUCCACAAGGAGCGCUUGUCUGCUCUCCCCAUUGGAACCUCGUUCGAAUCCCACACACUACUAUUUUUGAUGUUUCUAGAAUGCAAAAAAAAUGGGCCAAGCCCAGGGCGGAGUUUGUGCGCGAGUUUGCCGAAGAAACAUGCGCUUCCCCCAAAAAACCCCAAAGAAACGGGCGCUUAAGGCACCCGAUAGGAAAUGUUGCCCUUUUUUGGUUUACUAGAACAAUGCCCGUGCUGCAACGAAAAAUUAGUAUUUUAGUACAUUAGUUUGUGUUUUACCUGUCAAUAAUAAUGCGAUUGUACAAAUAAAUGUUUAUUAAAUUCUGACCGUGAAUUAUCUUUUAUUUUGAUUAGAAGUUUGGUAAGUAAAUUAAAGUGAAAUUUGUUCAGAAGGUAAGUAAUUAAGAUUAUUAAUUAUCAUAUACAUGGAAGAUUGGACGAAGGGAUGGUGGAAAGAAACAUGAAAUGUCAACUUUACGUUCUUAAGUACUUAACUAGAACGGUACCCGUGCGUUGCAACGGAAUAUAAAUGUUGUAGUACGUUAGCUUGUGAUUUACCUGUUAAUAAUAAUAAGAUUGUGUAAAUAAAUGUUCAUCAAAUUCUGACCGUAAAUUACCUUUUAUAUUGAUUAGAAGUUUGGUAAGUAAAUUAAAGUAAAAUUGGUUCAGAAGGUAAGUCAAUAAAGGUAAUUGAUUAUCAUAUACAUGAAAGGUUGGACAAAUGGGUGGUGAAAAGACAGGUGAAAUGGGAACCUUACUUUUUUUGAAGGGAAGGCCAUCAUGGCUAGCUUUAUUGAUUAAAAGAAGGAAUAACAUCAUCCACAAGUACGGAAACGAGACAGUCCGAGAGCUCGUCUGUCCAACUAGAAGAAAACUGAUUACAGUAACUAAACUUAGCUAGCACAUGCGCUGCUUGGUUAGAAGAGCGUGAACAUUGUAAAACUGACCUUCCCGAUCAACGAAGAUAGAUCCACACAUUCGGCGAAAGUUGCUGCUGCUUCAUUCCACCAUGUCGUUUGACCCGCACAUGAUUCAAUCACAAUUGAGGAAUCCGAUUCUGCUUCAACCCGAGGAAAGCCCAAGGAAUUUGCAAAGGCUAAACCAUCUUUCAUUGCCCUUGCCUCGGUGGAAACUACACUAGCUUCAUGGGGAAUGAAAAUGCAUUUUGCCGCCAAGAAAAUUCCCUUCUCAUCCCUAAUCACUGCAGCUGUCGCGCCCACACCUUCAUCUAUAUAGUAAGCUGCAUCCACAUUCAACUUAAUGAAUUUGAUAUCUGGUCUGGCCCAUCUCUCCUCAGGAAUACUCCUUCUCUUCUCAUUAGCCUGGUGAAAAUUAUUGGUAAUAGCAAGAACCGAUAGAGGCCAUUUAAAUAUCGGUGGAGGUGUACCAUUAUGGGUAUAUUGCCGACGGAUCCACCAUAGAUACCAACUUCCCACCGCUAAAACUUGUUUGAUGUCCAGAUUUGGUUUCAAUGGCAGUGGUCUCGGAUCAGCUAAGAAAAGAUUUUCAAGGACGACUGAACCAGAUCGGUCUAGUGCCAUUGCCUCCUUAACAAUAUCCAUGAUGCCCAAUCGAUUCCAGAGUUCUCUUGCAUGAAAGCAAUCGAAGAUUAGAUGCUUAAUAUCCUCAGCUUCUCUAUGGCAGAUAGGGCAUAAACCUACUGACCCGAUGUGUCUAUUAGUGAGUAUUGACUUUAGCGGCAGGAUUCCAUGAAGAGUUCUCCAACAAAAGAUCUAAAUUUUACGUGGCAUCGGUAGCUUCCAUAAGAUACUCCAUACUGCCGGGGCGCACGAUCUGCCCGGCUAUGCCAGGGCAGUUGCAUGGGGCCCAAAAGAUUGAAUCCAUUGAACUUUGUAUGAUGUUCGGAUAGAAAAACUCCCUCGUCGAUCUGGUUGCCAUGCAAUAAAAUCCUCAAAGGAGUUGGUGUUCAACGGUAUUUGCAGAACCAUGUUAACAUCAACCGGACUAAGAUUUGAAUGGAGGAUAUCUUCAUCGCAGGUGCCAGAAAUUGGAUCGAUGAGCUCCGCAACAGAAGUAAGGAUGGAUUGACCUUGUAUAGAUAUCACCUUUCUAUCCGGACUGGCAAGGAUCCAUGGGUCAGACCAAAUGCUUACAUUUUCACCUGUGCCAAUUCUCCAAAUAUAUCCCAAUUUGAAAGUCUCUAGGCCCUUCAUGAUGCUCUACCAAGUAAAAGAUGAACCAUUUUUUAAAGUGGCUUGUAGAAGGGUACAAUUUGGAUAGUAUUUUGCUUUCAAAAUUCUAGCACACAAUGAAUCCGGUUGAGUGAUCAGUCUCCAACAUUGUUUUGAUAACAUUGCCAGGUUGAAGGAGUAUAGGUCUCUAAAGCCCAUCUCACCAUCACUUUUAGGGCAGCAAAGUUUCCACCAAGAAAACCAAUGCAUUCUUUUGUGUUCCUUAUCAUCUCCCCACCAAUAUUGGGAUAUUAAAUCUAUGAUCUCUUUGCAAAUUCCCUUAGGUAUACUGAACACAAACAUGGCAAAUACUGGGAUGGCUUGUGCCGUCGCCUUAAUAAGGAUUUCCUUGCCACCAAUUGAGAGGAUCUUUUCCAUCCACCCUUUGAGCCUCUCUCUGAUUCUUUCAACAAAGUGUUUAAAACAGUCACUCCUGUCUGCUCCCACCAUAGCAGGCAACCCAAGAUAUUUAUCAGAGAGUGCUUCUGUAUCAAUAUUCAGUUCUUGGCAAAUUUCAGCUCUUGAAGCUGCAGGAGUAUUAGGACUAAAACACACACUAGAUUUUGAUAAACUCACCAACUGUCCCGAACUUUGGCAGUAGGUUUCCAGAACAUGUUGUAAGGAAGCUGCAUUUAAAACAUCUGCGGUCAUAAGAAUUAGAGAAUCGUCAGCAAAAAGUAGGUGUGAUACUGAUGGUGCAUUUCUGCACACUCUAACUGCUUCUAUGCCACCAACUUCUUCUUCAUACUUCAAUAAACUGGAAAGGCCUUCUGCACAAAGAAGGAAAAGAUAUGGGGAGAGGGGAUCCCCUUGCCUUAUACCUGAUGACCCACAAGUGUAGGGGAUCUAUCGUAGUCCUUUCGAUAAGUAAGAGUGUCGAACCCAACGAGGAGCAGAAGAAAAUGAUAAGCGGUUUUCAGUAAGGUUUUCUCUACAAGCACUGAAAUUGUAGGUAACAGAUAGUUUUGUGAUAAGAUAAAUUGUAACGGGUAACAAGCAAUGAAAGUAAAUAAAGUGUAGCAAGGUGGCCCAAUCCCUUUUGUAGCAAAGGAUAAGCCUGGACAAUUUCUUAUAAUGAGAAAAGAGCUCCCGAGGACACAUGGGAAUUAUUGUCAAGCUAGUUUUCAUCACGCUCAUAUGAUUCGCGUUCGAUACUUUGAUAAUUUGAUAUGUGGGUGGACCGGUGCUUGGGUACUGCCCUUACUUGGACAAGCAUCCCACUUAUGAUUAACCCCUAUUGCAAGCAUCCGCAACUACAAAAGAAGUAUUAAGGUAAACCUAACCACAUCAUUAAACAUAUGGAUCCAAAUCAACCCCUUACGAAGCAACGCAUAAACUAGGGUUUAAGCUUCUGUCACUCUAGCAACCCAUCAUCUACUUAUUACUUUCCAAUGCCUUCCUCUAGGCCCAAAUAAUGGUGAAGUGUCAUGUAGUCGACGUUCACAUAACACCACUAGAGGAAAGACAACAUACAUCUCAUCAAAAUAUCGAACGAAUACCUAAUAGCAAGACUUCACCCAUGUCCUCAGGAACAAACGUAACUACUCACAAAGCAUAUUCAUGUUCAUAAUCAAAGGAGUAAUAAUAUGCAUUAAGGAUCUGAACAUAUGAUCUUCCACCAAGUAAAUCAAUUAGCAUCAACUACAAGGAGUAAUCAACACUACUAGCAACCCACAGGUACCAAUUUGUGGUUUGGAUACAAGAUUGGAUACAAGAGAUGAACUAGGGUUUUGAUAGGAGAUGGUGCUGGUGAAGAUGUUGAUGGAGAUUGACCCCCUCCCGAUGAGAGGAUCGUUGGUGAUGAUGAUGGUGAUGAUUUCCCCCUCCCGGAGGGAAGUGUCCCCGGUAGAACAGCUCUGCCGGAGCUCUAGAUUGGUUCCGCCAAGGUUCCGCCUCAUGGCGGCGGAGUUUCGUCCAGUAAGCUUGCCCACGAUUUUUUCCAGGGUAAAAGCCUUCAUAUAGUAGAAGAUGGACACCGAAGGGCCACCAGGGGGCCCAGGAGACAGGGGCGUGCCCUAUAGGGGUGGGGGCGCCCCCCACCCUCCUGGCCAGGGUGUGGGCCCCCUCAGGUGUUUCUUCCGUUCAAUAAUUCUUAUUAAUUCCAAAAAUAAGUUCCGUGGAGUUUCAGGAUUUUUGGAGCAGUGCAGAAUAGGUUUCCAAUGUUUGCUCCUUUCCAGCCAGAAUUCCAGCUGCCGACAUUCCCCCUCUUCAUGGUAAACCUUGUAAAAUAAGAAAGAAUAGCCAUAAAUAUUGAGAUAUAAUGUGUAAUAACAGCCCAUAAUGCAAUAAAUAUUGAUAUAAAAGCAUGAUGCAAAAUGGAUGUAUCAACUCACUACUAGAAAAACCUCUACUAAUGGCGCACCUAUUAUGGCCAUUAAUGGCGCAUCUGUGGUGCGCCACUAACAGCACGCCAUUAGUAAUUUUUACUAAUGGCGCACCAGUGGUGCGCCAUUAGUAUCUGGUAUACUAAUGGCGCACCACUNNNNNNNNNNNNNNNNNNNNNNNNNNNNNNNNNNNNNNNNNNNNNNNNNNNNNNNNNNNNNNNNNNNNNNNNNNNNNNNNNNNNNNNNNNNNNNNNNNNNNNNNNNNNNNNNNNNNNNNNNNNNNNNNNNNNNNNNNNNNNNNNNNNNNNNNNNNNNNNNNNNNNNNNNNNNNNNNNNNNNNNNNNNNNNNNNNNNNNNNNNNNNNNNNNNNNNNNNNNNNNNNNNNNNNNNNNNNNNNNNNNNNNNNNNNNNNNNNNNNNNNNNNNNNNNNNNNNNNNNNNNNNNNNNNNNNNNNNNNNNNNNNNNNNNNNNNNNNNNNNNNNNNNNNNNNNNNNNNNNNNNNNNNNNNNNNNNNNNNNNNNNNNNNNNNNNNNNNNNNNNNNNNNNNNNNNNNNNNNNNNNNNNNNNNNNNNNNNNNNNNNNNNNNNNNNNNNNNNNNNNNNNNNNNNNNNNNNNNNNNNNNNNNNNNNNNNNNNNNNNNNNNNNNNNNNNNNNNNNNNNNNNNNNNNNNNNNNNNNNNNNNNNNNNNNNNNNNNNNNNNNNNNNNNNNNNNNNNNNNNNNNNNNNNNNNNNNNNNNNNNNNNNNNNNNNNNNNNNNNNNCCAUGAGGGGAGGGGAGGGGAGGGGAGGAGGGAGGAGGUAGGAGGAGGUCGCCGCAGAGGAGGAGAGAAGUGAAGAUGAAAUGAAGAGAGGAGGAGAGGACCAGCCAUAUAUACGGCAUACUAAUGGCGCACCACGGGCAGGUGCGCCAUUAGUAAUUUUUUUUAUUUUUUUGAUUUAUUUUGAAUUUUGAAGGCGGGAAGAUACUAAUGGCGCACCACGGUCAGGUGCGCCAUUAGUAAUGUUUUUUAUUUUUUUGAUUUAUUUUGAAUUUUGAAGGCGGGAAGAUACUAAUGGCGCACCAUGGUCAGGUGCGCCAUUAGUAAUUUUUUUUUAUUUUUUUGACUUAUUCUGAAUUUUGAAGGAGGGAAGAUACUAAUGGCGCACCGUAGGCAGGGUGCGCCAUUAGUAGUUUCAACACUAAUGGCGCAUCAGAAGGUGGUGCGCCAUUAGUAUAUACUAAUGGCGCACCACAUGUCUGGUGCGCCAUUAGUGUCAUUUCCAUCUAUAGCCCUUUUCCUAGUAGUGACUCCCCCAAGCUAAGACCUCGCUUGUUCUCAAGCGGAAGCCGAUAUCGAGAAAUAGGUCCACAUGUUUAGAGAUAGAGGUGUCGAUAAAAAUAAAAUACGGACAUGAGGGCAUCAUGAUCAUUCUUAUAACAGCAACAUAAAUAGAUUUUAUCAUAUGAUUUCUUAUGCUCAAGUAACGAUCAAUUCACAAUGUCAAGCAUGGUUCAGAAACUUCAUUGGGAGCUAGCAAACUGUAAUCUCAGUCAUUGAAGCAAUUGCAAUUUAACAUAACAUCAGAAAGAGUCAAGAAUAGAGCUUUUCAGCAAGUCCACACACUCAACUAUCAUGUAGCCUUCUACAAUUGCUAACACUCACGCGGUAUUUGUGGUUAUAGAGUUUCAACCGGACACUGAGAAAGAUAGGGGCUUAUUGUGUUGCCUCCCAAUUAUUUACCUUUAGGUGAUGUCAACAAUAAUAAUCCAUGCUAACUUACAUCCAAUUGGAUAUAUAUAUCAUGAUCUUUCAAACACGAGGAACUUGCCAAAGGAUAAAAUGAAAAAGGGAAAGGUGAAGAUCGCCUUGACUCAAGCAUAAAGUAAAAAAUAUAAAGUAAAAGAUAGGCCCUUCGCAAAGGGAAGCAGAGGUUGUCAUGUGCUUUUAGGGUUGGAUGCAUGAAAUCUUAAUGCAAAAUAACAUCACUUUAUAUUGCCACUUGUAUGUGGACCUUUAUUAUGCAGUCCGUCGCUUUUAUUGCUUCCACAACAAGAUCAUAUAAAGCUUAUUUUCUCUGCACUACUAAGUCAUACAUAUUUAGAGGGCAAUUUUUUUAUUGCCUGCAACAUGACAACUUACUUGAAGGAUCUUACUCAAUCCAUAGGUAGGUAUGGUGGACUCUCAUGGCAAAACUUGGUUUAAGGAUAUUUGGAAGCACAAGUAGUAUCUCUACUUGGUGCAAGGAAUUUGGCUAGCAUGAGGGGGAAAGGCAAGCUCAACAUGUUUGGAAGGUCAAUGACAAUAUACUUUAACUGAGAUGUGAGAAAACAUAAACCAUUACAUUGUCUUCCUUGUCCAACAUCAACUCUUUUAACAUGUCAUACUUAAUGAGUGCUUCACAAUCAUAAAAGAUGUCCAAGAUAAUAUAUUUGUAUGUGAAACCUCUCUUUCCUUAUUACUUCCUAUUAAUUGCAACGAUGACCAAAACUACGUUUAUCAACUCUCAACAACUUUUAUGCCUCAUACUUUCUAUGUGUGAAGUCAUUACUAUCCAUAAGAUCAAUAUGAACUCUUUUAUUCUUUCUACUUUCUCAAGAUCAUAGCAAGAUAGCAAAGCCCUUGACUCAACACUAAUCUUUAUUAUAGAUAGCUCACGGACUCGAAUACAUAAAGAGAUCACAAAGCAAAACUCAAAACUACUUGAUACUAAAACUUCAAUCUACUAGAUCAAGAUACUACUAAAAGGAUCGAACUAAAUAAAACAGUAAAGAUAAGAGUGUGAUGGUGAUACGAUAUCGGGGAACCUCCCCCAAGCUUGGCAAUUGCCAAGGGGAGUGCCCAUACCCAUGUAAUUCUGUCCUCGGAGGUGGUGAAGUAGGAGUUGUUGAUGAUGUAGGCUUGUCGUCCAUCUUCCAAGGCAUAGGCUCACCAUCAUAGAAGGAUGAUCAAGUCUAUGGGAUCCUUAAAUCUGCAGCCAAACUCAUCCUCUUGAAUCUAUAUUCAUACUCACAGUUCUGGUUUUGCAGGUCAUAGAUCUGGGCUUGGAGGUGCUCGAUUUUCUCUUGAAGCUUGAAGAUGGUUUCCCCAAUGACUUUGGCAUCUAGCUUGUGGUUGUUGGUGAACUCUGUGAUCCUCAUCUGGUUGGCGUUGAGUCCACGCUCCACCAUCCCUUGGCACUUCAAGACUUGCUUCUCCACGGCUUCGAGCUUUGUCUCCACGUUUCCGGUACGCCUUGGUCCCUCCACAUCGAGAAUGUGCAGCACCCCCUCACGCAUGUCAAUGGUUUGAGGGUGUUGCAGCACCUCCGCGAGAUAGGGGUUGAUAACCCUCUCAAAAAACUUGUCCUUGGGAGCGCUUGGAGAUGCCAUGACGCUCUAGAUCUGUAACAGAAAACAACUCGAACAAAAACAGAGGAUAUUUGCGUGAUACGGUGGUCAAAACCUUCGGGAGUUUAUAUAAUGAAUUUUUACCGACCAAAAUACGUAACGUGCAAGAAAACGGAGUCCGGGAGGCACACGAGGUGGCCACGAGACAGGGGGGCGUGCCCUCCACCGUCGUGGAAGCUUCAUGUCCUUCCCGUACUACUUAUUUCUUCCUAAAAUUCUUAAAUAUUCCAAAACUGAUAAAAAUUGCCAUUAGAAUUUUUUUGGAGUCGAUUUACUUACCGUACCACAUACCUAUUCCUUUUCGGAGUCUGGAACAUUCUGGAAAUUGUCCCUUAUGUAUUCCUCUGGGGUUAUGGUUUCAAUAAUAUUAGUUUCAACAUUGAUAGGAUUACCUGAGAUAUAAUGUUUAAUCCUUUGACCGUUCACCACCCUGGGACUUGUGCCUUCGAAGUUGUUGAUUUUUAUGGCACCCGAACGAUAGACCUCCUCGAUAACGUAAGGACCUUACCAUUUAGAGAGAAGUUUUCCUGCAAAAACUCUUAAAGGAGAGUUGAAUAAUAACACAUAAUCACCUACGUUAAACUCACGCUUUUGUAUCCUUUUGCCAUGCCAGCGUUUGACUUUUUCUUUGAAUAGCUUGGCAUUCUCAUAGGCUUGGGUUCUCCAUUCAUCAAGUGAGCUAAUAUCAAACAACCUCUUCUCACCGGCAAGUUUGAAGUCAUAGUUGAGCUCUUUGAUAGCCCAAUAUGCUUUAUGUUCAAGUUCUAGAGGUAAAUGACAAGCUUUUCCAUAAACCAUCUUAUAUGGAGACAUGCCCAUAGGAUUUUUGUAUGCAGUUCUAUAGGCCCAUAAUGCAUCAUCAAUUUUUUUGGACCAAUUCUUUCUAGAUCUAUUCACAGUCUUUUGCAAAAAUAAUUUGAGCUCUCUAUUGCUCAACUCUACUUGACCACUAGACUGCGGGUGAUAAGGAGAUGUGAUUCUAUGAUUAACAUCAUACUUAGCAAGCAUCUUAGAGAAAGCACCAUGAAUAAAAUGUGAACCACCAUCAAUCAUAAGAUAUCUAGAGACUCCAAACCUCAGAAAAAUAACUUCUUUAAGCAUUUUAAUAGAAGUGUUAUGAUCAACACUACUAGUUGGAAUAGCUUCUACCCACUUAGUAACGUAAUCAACAUCAUCUAAAAUAUGUGUAUAACCAUUAGAGGCAGGAAAAGGUCCCAUAUAAUCAAAGCCCCAAACAUCAAACGGUUCAAUAACAAGGGAGUAAUUCAUAGGCAUUUCUUGAUGUCUACUAAUAUUACCAAUUCUUUGACAUUCAUCACAAGACAAGACAAACUUACGAGCAUCUUUGAAGAGAGUAGGCCAAUAAAAACCAGAUUGCAAUACCUUAUGUGCAGUUCUAUCUCCAGCGUGGUGUCCUCCAUAUGAUUCAGAGUGACACUUCCAUAGGAUCUGUUCCUGUUCAUGCUUAGGUACACAACGUCUAAUAACACCAUCUACUCCUUCUUUAUAAAGGUGUGGGUCAUCCCAGAAGUAAUGUCUUAAAUCAUAAAAGAACCUUUUCUUUUGCUGGUAUGUGAAACUAGGUGGUAUAAAUUUAGCAACAAUAUAAUUAGCAUAAUCAGCAUACCAAGGAGCAGUAUGAGAAGCAUUAAAGACCACUAAUUGUUCAUCAGGAAAGCUAUCAUCAAUAGGCAGUGGGUCAUCAAGAACAUUCUCUAACCUAGACAAGUUGUCUGCAACGGGGUUCUCAGCUCCCUUUCUAUCAAUAAUAUGCAAAUCAAAUUCUUGGAGCAAGAGAACCCAUCUAAUAAGUCUAGGCUUAGAAUCUUUCUUUUCCAUAAGAUAUUUAAUAGCAGCAUGAUCAGUGUGAAUAGUAACUUUGGAAUCAACAAUAUAAGGUCUAAACUUAUCACAUGCAAACACAACUGCUAAGAAUUCUUUUUCAUUAGUAGCAUAGUUUCUCUGGGCAGUAUCAAGAGUCUUACUAGCAUACUGGAUAACAUUCAAUUUCUUAUCAACUCUUUGCCCUAGAACAACACCUACAGCAUAAUCACUAGCAUCACACAUAAUUUCAAAAGGUAAAUUCCAAUCAGGUGGCUGAACAAUAGGUGCAGUGAUCAAAGCUUUCUUAAGUAUUUCAAAUGCUUCUACACAAUCAUCAUCAAAGACAAAAGGAAUAUCUUUUUGCAAUAAAUUAGUCAGAGGCCUAGAGAUUUUAGAGAAGUCCUUAAUGAACCUCCUAUAAAAACCGGCAUGACCAAGGAAACUUCUUAUACCUUUAGUUCCUUUGGACAUGGCAUCUUUUCAAUAGCAUCAACUUUAGCUCUAUCAACUUCAAUAGCUCUCUCGGAGAUUUUGUGCCCCAAGACAAUGCCUUCAUUAACCAUAAAGUGACACUUUUCACAAUUCAAGACGAGACUAGUGUCUUCGCAUCUCUGCAAAACUCGAUCAAGGUUGCUCAAGCAAUCAUCAAAAGAGGAUCCAUAAACGGAGAAGUCAUCCAUGAAUACCUCACAAAUCUUUUCACAAAAGUCAGAGAAUACAUCCAUCAUGCAUCUUUGAAAGGUAGCAGGUGCAUUACAUAAACCAAAAUGCAUACGUCUAUAAGCAAAAGUACCGAAAGGGCAAGUAAAAGUAGUUUUUGAUUGAUCCCCCGUUGAGACAGGUAUUUGAGAGAAACCAGAAUAACCAUCUAGAAAGCAGAAAUGUGUGUGUUUGGAUAGUCUUUCUAGCACUUGAUCAAUAAAAGGUAAAGGGUAAUGAUCCUUCUUAGUAGCUUUAUUUAAUUUACGGAAAUCAAUUACCAUCCUAUAACCUAUAAUAGUUCUUUGCGGGAUCAAUUCAUGUUUAUCAUUAGGAACGACAGUAAUACCUCCCUUUUUGGGAACACAAUGGACAGGGCUUACCCAAUCACUAUCAGCAACGGGAUAAAUUAUACCUGCCUCAAGGAGCUUUAGUAUCUCCUUUCUUACCACUUCUUUUAUUUUGGGAUUCAAUCGUCGUUGAGGAUCUCUAACUGGUUUGGCAUCGUCCUCCAAAUUAAUUUUGUGUUGGCAUAACGUAGGACUAAUGCCCUUAAGAUCAUCCAGAGUAUAUCCAAUAGCAGCGCGGUGCUUCUUCAGAGUUUUCAAUAUUCUUCUUGCUCUGAAAGGUUAGCACUAAUAAUAACAUGAUAUAUUUUCUUUUCAUCAAGAUAAGCAUACUUGAGAUUAUCAGGUAAUGGUUUGAGUUCAAACACGGGAUCACCCUUGGGUGGAGGGGGGUCCCCUAGAAUUUCAACGAGAAGGUUUUAUUUCAGAAUAGGUUCCUGUUGAAGGAACACUUUAUCUAUUUCCCUUCUUUCCUUCAUAAACAUAUCGUUUUCAUGGUCUAGCAAAUAUUGUUCUAACGGAUCAGUAGGAGGCACGACAAUAGAAGCAAGACCAAUAAUCUCAUCCUUACUAGGUGAUUCUCUAUCACGAGGUUGUCUAUGAAACUUAGCAAAAUUAAACUCAUGAGACAUACCUGAUACGUCUCCAACGUAUUUAUAAUUUAUGAAGCAUUCAUGCUAUUUUAUUAUCUAUUUUGAAUGAUUAUGGGCUUUAUUAUACACUUUUAUAUUACUUUUGGGACUAACCUACUAACCGGAGGCCCAGCCCAUAUUGCUGUUUUAUUGCCUGUUUUAGUAUUUCGAAGAAAAGGAAUAUCAAACAGAGUCCAAACGGAAUGAAACCUUCGGCAACGUGAUUUUUUGGAAGAUUAUCAUCCUGGAAGCUUGGAGAUCAAGCCAGAAGAUCCUCGAGGAGCCCAGGAGAUAGGGGGCGCGCCCCCUGUCUCAUGGACCCCUCGAGCACCCCCCGACCAACUUCUUUCGCCUAUAUAACCCUACGUACCCUAAAACUAUCGAAAAUCAAGAUAUAUCGGGAGUUCCGCCACCGCAAGCCUCUGUAGCCACCAAAAAGCUCUCGGGAGCCCUUCCCGGCACCCUGUCGGAGGGGGGAUCCUUCACCGGUGGCCAUCUUCAUCAUCCCGGCGCUCUCCAUGACGAGGAGGGAGUAGUUCACCCUCGAGGCUGAGGGUAUGUACCAGUAGCUAUGUGUUUGAUCUCUCUCUCUCGUGUUCUCUCUCGUGUUACCUCUAUGGCACGAUCUUGAUGUAUCCCGAGCUUUGCUAUUGUAGUUGGAUCUUAUGAUGUUUCUCCCCCUCUACUCUCUUGUGAUGAAUUGAGUUUCCUCUUUGAAGUUAUAUUAUCGGAUUGAGUCUUUUAUGAGAACACUUGAUGUAUGUCUUGUCGUGCUUAUCUGUGGUGACAAUGGGAUAUCAUGUGCCUCUUGAUGUAUGUUUUGGUGACCAACUUGCGGGUUCCGCCCAUGAACCUAUGCAUAGGGGUUGGCACACGUUCUUGACUCUCCGGUAGAAACUUUGGGACACUCUUUGAAGUACUUUGUGUUGGUCGAAUAGAUGAAUCUGAGAUUGUGUGAUGCAUAUCGUAUAAUCAUGCCCACGGAUACUUGAGGUGACAAUGGAGUAUCUAGGUGACAUUAGGGUUUUGGUUGAUUUGUGUCUUAAGGUGUUAUUCUAGUACGAACUCUUGAAUAGAUUGGUCCGAAAGAAUAACUCUGAGGUGGUUUCGUACCCUACCAUAAUCUCUUUGUUUGUUCUCUGCUAUUAGUGGCUUUGGAGUGACUCUUUGUUGCAUGUUGAGGGAUUGUUAUAUGAUCUAUCUAUGUUAUUAUUGUUGAGAGAACUUGCACUAGUGAAAGUAUGAACCCUAGCUAGGCCUUGUUUCCUAUCAUUGCAAUACCGUUUACGCUCACUUUUACCACUUGCUACCUUGCUGUUUUUUAUAAUUUCAGAUUACAAAUACCUUUAUCUACCAUCCAUAUUGCACUUGUAUCACCAUCUCUUCGCCGAACUAGUGCACCUAUACAAUUUACCAUUGUAUUGGGUGUGUUGGGGACACAAGAGACUCUUAGUUAUUUGGUUGCAGGGUUGUUUGAGAGAGACCAUCUUCAUCCUACACCUCCUACGGAUUGAUAAACCUUAGGCCAUCCACUUGAGGGAAAUUUGCUACUGUCCUACAAACCUGUGCACUUGCAGGCCCAACAACGUCUACAAGAAGAAGGUUGUGUAGUAGACAUCAAGCUCUUUUCUGGCGCCGUUGCUGGGGAGGUGAGUGCUUGAAGGUAUAUCUUUAGAUCUUGCAAUCGAGUCUUUUAGUUUCUCAUUUUAUCACUAGUUUAGUUUAUAAAAGAAAACUACAAAAAAAUGGAGUUAAGUUUGUCUCGUACGCUUCAUCUUUUUAAUAUCUUUUGUGAGUUUGAUGAAAAGGAAAAUUGUGCUCAAGUGCUAGAAGAAGAAUGCAUUAGAAUGUUUGGUACUAUAUCUUUGUAUGAUGAGCAUGAUUGCGAUGUUGUUAGUAUGAAUUCCUUGAAUAUCCAUGAUGUUAAUGAUAUGCAAAGCCACAAGCUUGGGGAUGCUAUGUUUGAUGAAGAUGAUAUUUUUAGUCCCCCAAAUUUUGAUGAGCAAAUUUAUUAUGAUGAAAGAAUGCCUCCUAUUUAUGAUGAUUAUAUUGAUGAAAGUGGGUUUGGAAGAGUGUCAACUUUAGGAAGUAGUGAUCCCACUAUUUUGGAGGAUGUUGAAUCUUAUUGUGAUGAAUAUGAAAGUGGAUUUGGAAGAGUGUCAACUUUAUUUAGUGAUGAUUCCACUAUUUCGGAAGAGGUUUCAAUUGAUUAUGAGAACAAAGUUGCUAUCUAUGAUAAUUAUUGUGAUGACUUGUAUGCUAUUAGGAAUAAUGAUAACCAUGAAACUUGUCAGCAUGAUUUUAGUUUUCAAUUGGAUUAUGCCUCACAUGAUAAUUAUUUUGUUGAGUUUGCUCCCACUACUAUUCAUAAGAAGAAAUUUGCUUAUGUGGAGAGUAGUAAAUUUUCUAUGCUAGUAGAUCAUGAAAAGAAUGAUUUAGGUGCUGGUUAUAUUGUUGAAUUCAUUCAUGAUGCUACUGAAAAUUAUUAUGAGGGAGGAAUAUAUGCUUGUAGGAAUUGCAAUAAUGUCAAGUUUCCUCUCUAUGUGCUUAAAAUUUUGAAGUUAUGCUUGUUUUACCUUCCUAUGCUAGUUGAUUAUUGUUCCCAUAAGUUGUUUUCUCACAAAAUCCCUAUGCAUAGGAAGUGGGUUAGACUUAAAUGUGCUAGUCAUAUGCUUCACGAUGCUCCCGUUAUGUUUCAAUUCUUAUCUUUUAUGUGAGCAUCAUUGUCAUCAUCAUGCCUAGCUAGAAAGGCAUUAAAGAAAAGCGCUUGUUGGUAGACAACCCAAUAUUUACCCAUACUGUUUUUGUGUGUACACAUGAUUAUGCUACUGUAUUAAUCAUGUUUUAUAGCUUUUAUUUCAAUAAAGUGCCAAGUAGAACCUUUGGGAAGACUUGGGUGAAGUUUAUGUGAUCUUGCUGUGAAAAACAGAAACUUUUGCACUCACGAGAUUAGCUGCCGUUUUUUACUGGAGAGUGCUUUUAGGUUGAUUAUUUUUGCAGAUGAUUAAUAGACAAAUUACUCAGGUACAUCAAUUUAUUUCAUAAUUUUUUGAGUUCCAGAAGUAUACGUUUGAUACAGAUUACUACAGACUGUUCUGUUUUUGACAAAUUCUGUUUUCUAUGUGUUGUUUGCUUAUUUUGAUCAAUCUAUGGCUAGUAUUAAGUGGUAUGAACCAUAGAGAAUUUAUAAUACAUUAGAUAUUACACCAAUAUGAAUAAAUAAUGAGUUCAUUACAGUACCUAAGUGGUGAUUUAUUUUCUUAUACUAACGGAGCUUACGAGUUUUGUUUUGAGUUUUGUGUGGUUGAAGUUUUCAAGUUUUGGGUAAAGAUUCGAUGGACUAUGGAAUAAGGAGUGGCAAGAGCCUAAGCUUGGGGAUGCCCAAGGAACCCCAAGGUAAUAUUCAAGGACAACCAAGAGCCUAAGCUUGGGGAUGCCCCGGAAGGCAUCCCCUCUUUCGUCUUCGUUCAUCGGUAACUUUACUUGGAGCUAUAUUUUUAUUCACCACAUGAUAUGUGUUCUGCUUGGAGCGUCAUUUUCUUUUGUUAGUAUUUGCUUUCUGUUAGUUAUAAUAAUGUUUUGCAUCUUUAGUUUUAAUAAAAAUGUCAAGGAUAGCCUUUGCCAUGCUUAUUUUGCUAGUAUACAUGUUGCUGUUUGAAAACAGAAAGUUUACCUCUGUUGCAAAAAUUCCCUAGAAAAGUCAGAGAAUGGUAUAAUGUUGAAUAUUUUUUGCAUAUUAAGGUCUGAUAAAUUUAUUACAGUGGUAAUUUUAGUUCAUAAUUUUUGGAGUUAGGUAAGUAUUGAUACUCUUGCAUUUUUUACAGACUGUACUGUAUUGGCAGAUUGCUGUUAUGGUUGCAUUGUUUGCGUAUGUUUGCUUGUUUAAUGAUUCUAUUUGAUGAUAGGAGUAUUAAAUAUGCAGAGACAUUUAUUAUACAAUGCUUAAUAAUAAUUUUAGUGAUUUGUUACAGUAGAAAAUGAUAAGGUUUUGCAUUGGUUUAUACUAACCCAUCUCACGAGUUCUUGUUGAGUUUGUUGUGGAUGAAGCUUUUGAUAGAAAGAGAAACCGUGAUAUGAAAGGAAUUAAGGAGACACAAAAGUUCAAGCUUGGGGAUGCCCAAGGAACCCCAAGAUAAUAUUUCAAGAAGUCUCAAGCAUCUAAGCUUGGGGAUGCCCCGGUAGGCAUCCCACCUUUCUUCUUCAACAAUCAUCGGUUGAGCCUAAGUUUUUACUUCUUCACAUGAGUUGUCCUAUCCUUGCAAAGUCAUUUUGUUUUGUUUUUCUUGCUGCUUGAAUACAAUACUAAGAUCUGAAAUUCUUUAAUAAGAGAGAGUCUUCACAUAGUUGCAUAAUUAUUUUGCUACGCAUUGAUCUUGACUUAUAUCUUGUUGGAGUAGUUUGUCAUUUACUCGUGUGCUUCACUUAUAUCCUAGGAAUAAAUGGUUGAAUGAGUUGAAUGUCAUAAAUCUGAAUUUAUAUAUGUUUCAUUUGCUUAUCCCAUGGGGAGUAAUGACUUCACAUCUAAGAAGUAGAGGUUGUAAAUUUAUCGAUGAUUAGCAAGCAUUGUAUUAGUCAUUUGAACAAUUCAUGAAAGAAUAUUGAAGGAAGGGAGAUUUCACAUAUAAAUAUAUUAUCAUAGACAUCUUUUAUAAUUGUGAGCACUCAUUAUGUAUGACAUGCUAAAGAGUUGAUGUUGGACAAGGAAGACAACGUAAUGGGUUAUGUUUUCUCGCAUCUCAGUUAAAGUAUAUUGUCAUGGAUCAUUCAAACAUGUUGAGCUUGCCUUUCCCCCUCAUGCUAGCCAAAAAUUCCUAGCACCAAGUAGAGAUACUACUUGUGCUUCCAAAUAUCCUUAAACCCAGUUUUUGCCAUGAGAGUCCACCAUACCUACCUAUGGAUUGAGUAAGAUCCUUCAAGUAAGUUGUCAUCGGUGCAAGCAAUAAAAAUUGCUCUCAAAAUAUGCAUGACUUAUUAGUCUGGAGAAAAUAAGCUUUGUACGAACUUGUUGGAAGCAAUAAAAGCGACGGACUGCACAAUAAAGGUCCAUAUACAAGGGGCAAUAUAAAGUGACGUUCUUUCGCAUUAAGAUUUUGUGUAUCCAACCCUAAAAGCGCAUGACAACCUCUGCUUCCCUCUGCGAAGGGCCUAUCUUUUACUUUAUGUCUUUUACUUUAUGCAAGAGUCAAGGUAAUCUUCACCUUUCCCUUUUUCAUUUUAUCCUUUGGCAAGCACUUUGUGUUGGGGUGAUCCUGAUAUAUAUAUCCAACUGGAUGUACGUUAGCAUGAACUAUUAUUGUUAACAUCACCCAAAGGUGAAUACGUUUGGAGGCAACAUUAUAAGCCCCAAUCUUUCUCCGUGUCUGAUUAAAACUUCAUAACCACAAGUAUUGCGUGAGUGUUAGCAAUUGUAGAAACUAUAUGAUAGUUGAGUAUGUGAAGUUUGCUAAAUCAAAGCUCUGACAUAGACUCUUCCUAGAAGUAAGAUGAAUUGCAAUUGUUUGAUGACUAAUAAUGAAGUUUGCUAGUUUUCAAGAAUGUUUCUAUGCUUCAACAUGUGAAUUGAUUGUUACGUUAUCGUGAAAAGUUUUAUGAGAUGAACUAUUGUUAUGACAUAUUAUCAUGCUAGAAAAGGUGAUUGAAAUUAUCAUUGAUCAAACUUGUGCACCUUCUAGCAUUCACACUUCAUAAAUUCUUUCUUUUAUCAUUUACCUACUCGAGGACGAGUAGGAAUUAAGCUUGGGGGUGCUUGAUACGUCUCCAACGUAUCAAUAAUUUAUGAAGCAUUCAUGCUAUUUUAUUAUCUGUUUUGAAUGAUUAUGGGCUUUAUUAUACACUUUUAUAUUACUUUUGGGACUAACCUACUAACCGGAGGCCCAGCCCAUAUUGCUGUUUUAUUGCCUGUUUCAGUAUUUCGAACAAAAGGAAUAUCAAACGGAGUCCAAACGGAAUGAAACCUUUGGCAACGUGAUUUUUUUUGAAGAUUAUCAUCCUGGAGGCUUGGAGAUCAAGUCAGAAGAUCCUCGAGGAGCCCAGGAGACAAGGGGGCGCCCCCCCUACAGGGUGCGGCCCCCUAUCUCGUGGACCCCUCGAGCACCCCCCGACCGAUUUCUUUCGCCUAUAUAACCGUACAUACCCUAAAACUAUCGAAAAUCAAGAUAGAUCGGGAGUUCCGCCACCGCAAGCCUCUGUAGCCACCAAAAACCUCUUGGGAGCCCUUCCCAGCACUCUGCCGGAGGGGGGAUCCUUCACCGAUGGCCAUCUUCAUCAUCCCGGCGCUCUCCAUGACGAGGAGGGAGUAGUUCACCCUCGAGGCUGAGGGUAUGUACCAGUAGCUAUGUGUUUGAUCUCUCUCUCUCUCGUGUUCUCUCUUGUGUUCCCUCUAUGGCACGAUCUUGAUGUAUCCCGAGCUUUGCUAUUGUAGUUGGAUCUUAUGAUGUUUCUCCCCCUCUACUCUCUUGUGAUGAAUUGAGUUUUCCCUUUGAAGUUAUCUUAUCGGAUUGAGUCUUUUAUGAGAACACUUGAUGUAUGUCUUGCCGUGCUUAUCUGUGGUGACAAUGGGAUAUCAUGUGCCUCUUGAUGUAUGUUUUGGUGACCAACUUACGGGUUCUGCCCAUGAACCUAUGCAUAGGGGUUGGCACACGUUCUUGACUCUCCGUUAGAAACUUUGGGACACUCUUUGAAGUACUUUGUGUUGGUCGAAUAGAUGAAUCUGAGAUUGUGUGAUGCAUAUCAUAUAAUCAUGCCCACGGAUACUUGAGGUGAAAAUGGAGUAUCUAGGUGACAUUAGGGUUUUGGUUGAUUUGUGUCUUAAGGUGUUAUUCUAGUACGAACUCUUGAAUAGAUUGAUCCGAAAGAAUAACUUUGAGGUGGUUUCGUACCCUACCAUAAUCUCUUUGUUUGUUCUCAGCUAUUAGUGGCUUUGGAGUGACUCUUUGUUGCAUGUUGAGGGAUUGUUAUAUGAUCUAUCUAUGUUAUUAUUGUUGAGAGAACUUGCACUAGUGAAAGUAUGAACCCUAGGCCUUGUUUCCUAUCAUUGCAAUACCGUUUACGCUCACUUUUACCACUUGCUACAUUGCUGUUUUUAUAAUUUCAGCUUACAAAUACCUUUAUCUAUCAUCCAUAUUGCACUUGUAUCACCAUCUCUUCGCCGAACUAGUGCACCUAUACAAUUUACCAUUGUAUUGGGUGUGUUGGGGACACAAGAGACUCUUUGUUAUUUGGUUGCAGGGUUGUUUGAGAGAGACCAUCUUCAUCCUACGCCUCCUACGGAUUGAUAAACCUUAGGUCAUCCACUUGAGGGAAAUUUGCUACUGUCCUACAAACCUGUGCACUUGCAGGCCUAACAAUGUCUACAAGAAGAAGGUUGUGUAGUAGACAUCAAUACCCUCUAAGCCGAUUGUGACAGUAUCCUUUUCACAAUCAAUCCUAGCAUUAACUGUAUUCAAGAAGGGUCUACCAAAAAUAAUGGGAAAAAAUUCAUCUUGUGGAGAACUAAGAACAAGAAAAUCAGUGGGAUAUUUAACCUUCCCACACAAGACUUCAACAUCUCUAACAAUCCCAACUGGUGAAAUAGUAUCUCUAUUGGCAAGCCUGAUAGUAACAUCAAUACCUUCCAAUUCAACAGGUGCAAUGUCGUGCAUAAUUUCUUUAUAUAAAUCAUAGAGUAUUGCACUAGCACUAGCAUCCAUAUCACAUAAGCCAUGAUAACAAUGAUCUCCUAUUUUAACAGAAAUAACAGGCAUGCCUACCACAGGUCUAUGUAUCUUAGUAUCUGGUCUAACAAUAUUAGCAGUCUCACCACAUAAAUAAAUAACAUGCCCAUCUAAAUCAUCAUCCAAGAGAUCUUUAACCAUAGCAAUACUAGGUUCAACUUUGAUUUGCUCAGGAGGUGUAUAAGUCCUAGUAUUACUCUUACGAACAACAGUCGAAGUUUUAGCAUGAUCCUUUAUCCUAACAGGAAAAGGAGGUUUCUCAACAUAAGUAGUAGGAACAAUAGGAUCACUAUAAGUGACAGUCUUUUCUUCAACUGUAAUAGGUGGAACUACUUUUACUUCAAUGGGAGGAUUAUAUUUAAACCACUUCUCCUUAGGGAGAUCAACGUGAGUAGCAAAAGAUUCACAAAAAGAAGCUACUAUCUCAGAGUCAAGUCCAUAUUUAGCGCUAAAUCCACAAAAAGCAUCGGUAUCAAUAAAAGAUUUAACACAAUCAAACUUAGGUGUCAUACCUGACUCCUUAUCAUCGUCGGAACCCCAACCUUCAGAGUUGCAUUUAAUUCUUUCCAAUAAGUCCCAUUUGAAUUCAAUAGUCUUCAGCAUAUAAGAACCAACACAGGAAGUAUCGAGCAUGUUGCGAUCAUUGAGAGAAAGACGAGCAUAAAAGUUUUGAAUAAUCAUUUCUCUAGAGAGCUCAUGAUUGGGGCAUGAAUAUAACAUUGACUUAAGACUCCCCCAAGCUUGAGCGAUGCUUUCUACUUCGCGAGGCCAGAAAUUAUAUAUGUAAUUACGAUCACGAUGAACAAGAUGCAUAGGAUAGAACUUCUGGUGAAAUUCCAACUUCAAUCGUUUAUAAUUCCAAGAUCAUGUAUCAUCACAUAGCCUAUACCAUGUCAAUGCAUCUCCCUUCAAAGAUAAAGGGAAGACCUUCCUUUUAACAACAUCAUCGGGAAUAACUGCAAGCUUAAAUAAUGCACAAACUUCAUCCACAAAGAUAAGGUGUAAAUCAGGAUGCAAUGUUCCAUCUCCUGCAAAUGGAUUAGCUAGCAGUUUCUCUAUCAUACCCGAAGGAAUCUCAAAGUAAAUAUUUUCAAUAAGUUUAGUAGGUUGAGGAGCAACUCUUUGCUCCUCUGGUCGGGGUGAAGAUGCCCCUAACAAGCCCCUCAAAGAUUAGUUUCCAUAGUGACAAGUAACAGAAAAUUUCAGCACACUAUAUAAAUGUUUCCUUACCAAGUUCCACUCACCAAAAGUGCUACACUCCCCAGCAACGGCGCCAGAGAAGAGUCUUGAUGACCCACAAGUGUAGGGGAUCUAUCGUAGUCCUUUCUAUAAGUAAGAGUGUCGAACCCAAUGAGGAGCAGAAGGAAAUGAUAAGCGGUUUUCAGUAAGGUUUUCUCUGCAAGCACUGAAAUUGUAGGUAACAGAUAGUUUUGUGAUAAGAUAAAUUGUAACGGGUAACAAGCAAUGAAAGCAAAUAAAGUGCAGCAAGGUGGCCCAAUCCUUUUUGUAGCAAAGGAUAAGCCCGGACAAUUUCUUUUAAUGAGAAAAGAGCUCCCGAGGACACAUGGGAAUUAUCGUCAAGCUAGUUUUCAUCAUGCUCAUAUGAUUCGCGUUCGGUACUUUGAUAAUUUGAUAUGUGGGUGGACCGGUGCUUGGGUACUGCCCUUACUUGGACAAGCAUCCCACUUAUGAUUAACCCCUAUUGCAAGCAUCCACAACUACAAAAGAAGUAUUAAGGUAAACCUAACCACAUCAUUAAACAUAUGGAUCCAAAUCAGCCCCUUACGAAGCAAGGCAUAAACUAGGGUUUAAGCUUCUGUCACUCUAGCAACCCAUCAUCUACUUAUUACUUCCCAAUGCCUUCCUCUAGGCCCAAAUAAUGGUGAAGUGUCAUGUAGUCGACGUUCACAUAACACCACUAGAGGAAAGACAACAAACAUCUCAUCAAAAUAUCGAACGAAUACCAAAUUCACAUGACUACUAAUAGCAAGACUUCACCCAUGUCCUCAGGAACAAAUGUAACUACUCACAAAGCAUAUUCAUGUUCAUAACCAGAGGAGUAAUAAUAUGCAUUAAGGAUCUGAACAUAUGAUCUUCCACCAAGUAAACCAAUUAGCAUCAACUACAAGGAGUAAUCAACACUACUAGCAACCCACAAGUACCAAUUUGUGGUUUGGAUACAAGAUUGGAUAGAAGAGAUGAACUAGGGUUUUGAGAGGAGAUGGUGCUGGUGAAGAUGUUGAUGGAGAUUGACCCCCUCCCGAUGAGAGGAUCAUUGGUGAUGACGAUGGUGAUGAUUUCCCCCUCCCGGAGGGAAGUGUCCCCAGCAGAACAGCUGUGCCGGAGCUCUAGAUUGGUUCCGCCAAGGUUCCGCCUCGUGGCGGCGGAGUUUCGUCCCGUAAGCUUGCCCAUGAUUUUUUCCAGGGUAAAAGCCUUCAUAUAGCAGAAGAUGGACACCGGAGGUCCACCAGGGGGCCCACGAGACAGGGGGCGCGCCCAACAGGGGUGGGCGCACCCCCACCCUCCUGGCCAGGGUGUGGGCCCCCUCAGGUGUUUCUUUCGUUCAAUAAUUCUUAUUAAUUCCAAAAAUAAGUUCUAUGGAGUUUCAAGAUUUUUGGAGUAGUGCAGAAUAGGUUUCCAAUGUUUGCUCCUUUUCCAGUCAGAAUUCCAGCUGCCGGCAUUCCCCCUCUUCAUGGUAAACCUUGUAAAAUAAGAGAGGAUAACCAUAAAUUUUGAGAUAUAAUGUGUAAUAACAGCCCAUAAUGCAAUAAAUAUUGAUAUAAAAGCAUGAUGCAAAAUGGAUGUAUCAACUCCCCCAAGCUUAGACCUCGCUUGUUCUCAAGCGGAAGCCGAUAUCGAGAAAUAGGUCCACAUGUUUAGAGAUAGAGGUGUCGAUAAAAAUAAAAUACGGACAUGAGGGCAUCAUGAUCAUUCUUAUAACAGCAACAUACAUAGAUUUUAUCAUAUGAUUUCUUAUGUUCAAGUAACGAUCAAUUCACAAUGUCAAGCAUGGUUCAGAAACUUCAUUGGGAGGUAGCAAACUGUAAUCUCAGUCAUUGAAGCAAUUGCAAUUUAUCAUAACAUCAGAAAGAGUCAAGAAUAGAGCUUUUCAGCAAGUCCACACACUCAACUAUCGUGUAGUCUUCUACAAUUGCUAACACUCACGCGGUACUUGUGGUUAUAGAGUUUCAACCGGACACUGAGAAAGAUAGGGGCUUAUUGUGUUGCCUCCCAACAUAUUCACCUUUAGGUGAUGUCAACAAUAAUAAUCCAUGAUAACUUACAUUUAAUUGGAUAUAUAUAUAUAUAUAUCAUGAUCUUUCAAACACGAGGAGCUUGCCAAAGGAUAAAAUGAAAAAGGGAAAGGUGAAGAUCACCUUGACUCAAGCAUAAAGUAAAAAUCAUAAAGUAAAAGAUAGGCCCUUCGCAGAGGGAAGCAGAGGUUGUCAUGUGCUUUUAGGGUUGGAUGCAUAUGAAAUCUUAAUGCAAAAGAACGUCACUUUAUAUUGCCACUUGUAUGUGGACUUUUAUUAUGCAGUCUGUCGCUUUUAUUGCUUCCACAACAAGAUCGUAUAAAACUUAUUUUCUCCGCACUAAUAAGUCAUACAUAUUUAGAGGGCAAUUUUUUUAUUGCCUGCAACAUGACAACUUACUUGAAGGAUCUUACUCAAUCCAUAGGUAGGUAUGGUGGACUCUCAUGGCAAAACUGGGUUUAAGGAUAUUUGGAAGCACAAGUAGUAUCUCUACUUGGUGCAAGGAAUUUGGCUAGCAUGAGGGGGAAAGGCAAGCUCAACAUGUUUGGAAGGUCAAUGACAAUAUAUUUUAACUGAGACGUGAGAAAACAUAAACCAUUACGUUGUCUUCUUUGUCCAACAUCAACUCUUUUAGCAUGUCAUACUUAAUGAGUGCUUCACAAUCAUAAAAGAUAUCCAAGAUAUAUAUUUGUAUGUGAAACCUCUCUUUCCUUAUUACUUCCUAUUAAUUGCAACGAUGACCAAAACUACGUUUAUCAACUCUCAACAACUUUUAUGCCUCAUACUUUCUAUGUGUGAAGUCAUUACUAUCCAUAAGAUCAAUAUGAACUCUUUUAUUCUUUCUACUUUCUCAAGAUCAUAGCAAGAUAGCAAAGCCCUUGACUCAACACUAAUCUUUAUUAUAGAUAGCUCACGGACUCGAUUACAUAAAGAGAUCACAAAGCAAAACUCGAAACUACUUGAUACUAAAACUUCAAUCUACUAGAUCAAGAUACUACUAAAAGGAUCAAACUAAAUAAAACGGUAAAGAUAAGAGUUUGAUGGUGAUACGAUACCGGGGCACCUCCCCCAAGCUUGGCAGUUGCCAAGGGGAGUGCCAAUACCCAUGUAAUUAUGUCCUCGGAGGUGGUGAAUUAGGAGUUGUUGAUGAUGUAGGCUUGUCGUCCAUCUUCCAAGGCAUAGGCUCACCAUCAUAGAAGGAUGAUCGAGUGUACGGGAUCCUUAAAUCUGCAGCCAAACUCAUCCUCUUGAAUCUAUAUUCAUACUCACAGUUCUGGUUUUGCAGGUCAUAGAUCUGGGCUUGGAGGUGCUUGAUUUUCUCUUGAAGCUUGAAGAUGGUUUCCCCAAUGACUUUGGCAUCUAGCUUGUGGUUGUUGGUGAACUCCGUGAUCAUCAUCUGGUUGGCUUUGAGUCCACGCUCCACCAUCCCUUGGCACUUGAAGACUUGCUGCUCCACAGCUUCGAGCUUUGUCUCCACGCUUCCGGUACGCCUUGGUCCCUCCACAUCAAGGAUGUGCAGCACCCCCUCACGCAUCUCAAUGGUUUGAGGGUGUUGCAGCACCUCCGCGAGAUAGGGGUUGAUAACCCUCUCGAAAAACUUGUCCUUGGGAGCGCUUGGAGAUGGCAUGAUGCUCUAGAUCUGUAACAGAAAACAACUCGAACAAAAACAGAGGAUAUUUGCGUGAUACGAUGGUCAAAACCUUCGGGAGUUUAUAUAAUGAAUUUUUACCGACCAAAAUACGUAACGUGCAACAAAACGGAGUCCGGGAGGCACACGAGGUGGCCACGAGACAGGGGGGCGUGCCCUCCACCCUCGUGGAAGCUUCGUGUCCUUCCCGUACUACUUCUUUCUUCCUAAAAUUCUUAAAUAUACCAAAACUGAUAAAAAUUUCCAUUAUAAUUGUUUUGGAGUCGGUUUACUUACCGUACCACAUAGCUAUUCCUUUUCGGAGUCUGGAACGUUCUGGAAAGUAUCCCUUAUGUAUUCCUCUAGGGUUACAGUUUCAAUAAUAUUAGUUUCAACAUUGAUAGGAUUACCUGAGAUAUAAUGUUUAAUCCUUUGACCGUUCACCACCCUGGGACUUGUGCCUUCGAAGUUGUUGAUUUUUAUGGCACCCGAACGAUAGACCUCCUCGAUAACGUAAGGACCUUCCCAUUUAGAGAGAAAUUUUCAUGCAAAAAAUCUUAAACGAGAGUUGAAUAAUAACACAUAAUCACCUACGUUAAACUCAGGCUUUUGUAUCCUUUUGUCAUGCCAGUGUUUGACUUUUUCUUUGAAUAGCUUGGCAUUCUCAUAGGCUUGGGUUCUCCAUUCAUCAAGUGAGCUAAUAUCAAAAAACCUCUUCUCACCGGCAAGUUUGAAGUCAUAGUUGAGAUCUUUGAUAGCCCAAUAUGCUUUAUGUUCAAGUUCUAGAGGUAAAUGACAAGCUUUUCCAUAAACCAUCUUAUAUGGAGACAUGCCCAUAGGAUUUUUGUAUGUAGUUCUAUAGGCCCAUAAUGCAUCAUCAAGUUUUUUGGACCAAUUCUUUCUAGAUCUAGAUUGGUUCCGCCAAGGUUCCGCCUCGUGACGGCGGAGUUUUGUCCCCGUAAGCUUGCCCACGAUUUUUUCCAGGGUAAAAGCCUUCAUAUAGCAGAAGAUGGACAACGGAGGGCCACCAGGGGGCCCAGGAGACAAGGGGGCGCGCCCAGUAGGGGUGGGCGCGCCCCCCACCCUCCUGGCCAGGGUGUGAUCCGCCUCAGGUGUUUCUUCCGCUCAAUAAUUCUUAUUAAUUCCAAAAAUAAGUUCCGUGGAGUUUCAAGAUUUUUGGAGCAGUGCAGAAUAGGUUUCCAAUGUUUGCUCCUUUUCCAGCCAGAAUUCCACCCGCCAGCAUUCCCCCUCUUCUUGGUAAACCUUGUAAAAUAAGAGAGAAUAGCCAUAAAUAUUGAGAUAUAAUAUGUAAUAACAGCCCAUAAUGCAAUAAAUAUUGAUGUAAAAGCAUGAUGCAAAAUGGACGUAUCAAUACCCCUUGUUGGACUAAAGUUGUCCGUCUCCUAGGAAUUGAAUCUGACUUUAUAAGAAACAGAGCUUACACACGCCAUCAUAAGUUCAAUCCACUGCUCAUUAAAACCGAGUGCCCUCAUCAUAUCACGGAGGAAGGACCAUUCCACCCUAUCGUAUGCUUUGUGCAUGUCCAAUUUUACCGCGCAUAAACCUGUCUGAACAGCCCUUUUGUUCUUGAUUUUAUGCACACACUCAUAUGCUAUCAAGAUAUUGUCAGUGAUCAUUCUUCUUGGGACAAAGGCACUUUGCGUAGGGGAAAUGAUCUCCGGCAAAAUACUCUUUAGCCCGAAGGCUAACAAUUUAGAAAUGAUCUUAUAUGAAACACUCCAAAGAUUGAUAGGGCGAAAUUGUGUUAUCAGUUCAAGGCCAUCAGUUUUUGGUAUCAUGACAAUCGUGGUUCCAUUCCAAUCAGCUGGGAUUACCCUAGAAUUAAUUGCAUGAAGAACCUCCUUUGUGAUCUCGUCUCCCAGGAUAUGCCAGUAUUUUUUAAAGAAUAUUGCAUGAAGGCCAUCAGGUCCCGGGGCCUUUAUGUCUCCAAUACUGAACACUGCCUUCCUGACAUCUUCGGCUGUAUAAGGUGCCAUCAAAAAGCUAUUCAUUUGGUCAGUUACAUUAUGCCGAACCUUCUGUAAAAUUUCUGGAUUUGUGUGCCGCACCUCAGGCGAGAAAAGUUGCGUAAAAUAGUUCAGAACAUGUGAAUUCAGCUCUGGCAUACCUUCAAGCCAAUUACCUCCAUCAUCCUUUAAUCUCUUCACAAAAUCUCUCUUUCUCCUUGCUGAUGCAUAUGUUUGGAAGAACACCCUAUUACGGUCUCCACUCGUCAUCCAAGUCGCUCGAGAUCAUUGCAUGACUUGGAUCUCCUCCAGCUCUAACAGAUAUUCAAUCAGCUCUAUCAGUUCUUUCCUCUUUUCAUCAUUCUCAUCUGACAUAGGGCCAUUUAUGACUCUCUCCAGCUCCCUCUGAGCUUUACGUAACCGUUUUUUGUUUUUUGAGAACCCUCUAAUCCCAAUCAUGGAAGCUAGCAUGCAUUUUAUUGAGUUUCUCAUGUAUGCUUGUUAUGUUUGGGUCGUCUGCAGCCUCCGUCCAUGCUUCCAUCACUUUCUCAUUGAAUAACUUCUCUCUCAGCCAUCUAGCUUCAAAUCUUUUGACAUGUGUAUUCGAACCGCUUGGUGGCUGUACAUAGAAGCCAGUGUCCACCAGAAGAGGUCUAUUAUCCGAAUGAUUAAACUCUAAAUUCCGCAAUGCCGCCUGAGGGAAUUGGGAGGUCCACAAAUCAUUUACAAGCCCUCUAUCGAGUCUUUCCCAUAUUCUUCCUCGACGCCAAGUGUAUUGGUCACCAAUGUAGCCAAGGUCGUGCAAGGCACAUUCUUCUACAAUAUCCUGGAACGCUUGCAUAUAUUGGGGUGGUCGUGGAUUGCCACCCUCCUUCUCAUGCAAAUACACGAUCUCAUUGAGAUCACCCACCAGGAGCCAGGGUAAAGUAUGCGCUUGAUGCAGUUGCCUCAUAUGCGACCAAGUUAAGUGUUUGUUUUCCCACCUGAACUCUCCAUAGAUCCCAGUCAAACGCCACCCAGAAUUAUUAUUAUUGUUAUCCACUAUCUUUACAUCAAUGAACAUGGGAUUUAGAGAUAAUCUCUGAACAUUGACAUUAUUAUUCCAGAAAAGAACUAAGCCUCCACUUCUACCAUUGCUCGGACAAACUAGUUUUUGAUCCAUCUUCAAUCUCUUACGCAGACAUUCUGCCGGAUAACUAUCAAGGUGUGUCCCCGACAAGAACAUCACCUCGGGGUUGCAGCUUCGUUGGACAUCCAACAAAGCACGUACUGCCGGUGCGUUCCCAAGGCCCCGACAGUUCCAGGCUAGUAUUUUCAUUGCUUCCGGCCAUCCUCCACGCGGGAGGACGCCGAUAUCUCAUUUGUUUGCUGGCCUUCCGAGCUGUCCACAGCCUCACCAUCCAACCCUUUGUACUUCUUCCUGUUAGCAUUUUUCUGAGGCAUGCUAGACGCCUCCGGGGUGAUCCCCGACAGAGUCUCUCCUUCGAUCGGAUCCACAAUUGCUGCCACUUUUCAAGUUGUGGACAUAUUGGGAAUGAUCACCAACAUGUUAGAUACCCCUGGCAAAGCUUGCUGUGUAUCUCUUGCAGUUCUCUUACCAAGGACGUUGGUCUGACGAACAUCCUGAUUACUCAUCUCCUGUUCUGACCCUUGUCCUGUUUCCAUCUCUGUACCUCCUGGUUUAUACAACGCAUUGUGGCGCCAGCUAUCCACUGUACCCCUUCCAACAGCGCCAUGAGGAGGAUUUCCUCGACCACGACCUGGUCCAAAAGGCGGAUCUUCCCUGACAUUCUCACCUCUUCCUCGACCAGGGUUCCUCAUCGCUCCAUGGCCUCUGCCGUUACUUCUACCUCCAUCAACCAGUAGGAAAUCACCCCACUCCAGCUUGGUUACAUCAUGCUCUCCAGUGCCACACUCAUCAUACCAGUGCCCCAAAAGGCCACAAUUGCCACAGAAAUCCGAUAGCUUUUCAUACUGGACUUGGUACCAGUCUGUCUCAUUAUUCUUUGUGAUUGAAACAAAUCUGAUAAGUUUCUUCGUGGCAGUAAGCUCCACUCUGACCCUUACAAAUUCACCAACAAAGCCAGCCGGUAGGGUUGUUUGGACCUCCAACACCCUACCCAUCUUACGACACAUGCCCUUUAUCGCUGCUGGAAACAGAUAAUUAUCCGGGAGUUUCAAAAUCCUAGCCCAUACCACCAGUUUGUCCAAAACCAUCGAUUCUGGUUUCUUGAAUCCAUCGUAUUCCUCUAUCAAGACUCCUUGGUUCCUAAACAGCCAAGGCCCCUUGUUAAUCGCAGUGUUCCAAUCACCCAAGAAACCAAACUGUACCGUAAACAGAUUCUCAUCAAUUCUGCGCCAAUGGACCUCCCUGGCUGGGUUCCACGCUGACCUCAUAUCACCAUAAAGAGCAGAGGGGUUGAAUCCCUUGUUGGUGUGCACCUUCGCUAUCGCCAGCCACCUGGCUUCGAUCUUCUCAUCCUUGAAUUCUUCUUCCUAGACAAAUUGUUCCUCCUCAUCCUCAUGGAGUUCCAAGCGGCUCAGGAGAUCUUCCACCGGUUCCUUGCCCCUGUGUGUCCUGCUUCAUUCAUCCUGUGUCGCCAUGGCAACUACGAGCGCUAAACCCUAGCCUUGAAACGGGCCAGGAUCAGAAGAUCGAAACCCACCCGUACACCUCCACGUAUACUUCCCAAGGAUCAGGACCGGGAAGAGGCAGAGAUUGGAUGGGGAUUAGCGACAGCGGACGGUAGGAAAAGACUCUCGAUGGCGGCGCCGCCGGAGAAGAACGAAACCCUAACGAGAGGGGAAAAAAAGAAAGCCAGGGAGAACCUUACUUUUUUUUAAGUAGAGAUUGGUAGAUAAUAGAGAUAGAGAUUCUUUUUUCUUUAUGAUACCUAUUUUUUGAGACAUUUUCUUUAUGAUACCUUUUGGUUUAUUCGUGUGAACCGCGAGUGCUAACAACGGUCGACUGACUAGCGAGAACACUUAAUGGGCCGCGGCCCACCUAGCCAUACGUGCGAGAGCCAGCGGCGCGUUAAGCGCUGAGGAGGUCUCACAGACCUUUGGACCCGGGAAAAUAAAAAGAGCGAGGCGGCGGGCGACGCCGCCGCUGUUGCAUGGAGGCGGGCGACGCGACGCAGUAGCGGGGAACGAGCGACGCGGCCUCAGGGUCCCAUCGAGCGCGCGAGAGGCUCUGCGAGGCGGCACUGCCGCUGUACUGUGAAGCUGAUCCACCGAGGAAGCAAUCAACCAUCAGUGGAGGUAUACGUUUGCCCGCGAUUUAGCUGCUUCGUCCGCUGACGCCCUCCCGUCACCCUCUUUACUCCGGCAGUAGCAGCUCCAGCAGCAAUGGCUCUUGGCUAGGUUAAUUGAUUCUGGUUGUUCAUCCUUUUUGUGGUCUAUUGAUUCGGGCAUUUGUGUUUUUUCCAAUUGAUUAGGAAUAAUGUAAUCUGAUUUUUUUAGGGGACGUAAUCUGAUGAGAUGAUAAUACAGCUUCCGAAUCAAUUGUAGCCUGCUUCAGUGGCCACGCUGGGGGAUCGAUCCCAUUGUUCCAUUCUCAGCAGAAGAUAAUUGAUAUCUGUUUCUGGUGAGAAAUUUCUCCUGUAUGAUGCAAGUUCACCCAUUUCUGUACCUGGACGGCUGGGUGAUUUUGUGACUCAUUGCUCCAGAUGAUCUUUUCAUGUAGGUUUUGAGGACUCAAAGGUCAUCGACCCUCAUUGACACAUAUGAACCGACCUACGGACCUGUUGCUAACUCUACUUGAUCAUGUAUGCCCCUGUUCCCUGUAUCACAGGAUUUAUUCAUAUCUAUCCACAUAAGUAAAUGUUCUUAAUUUGUGAGAAGUUCCACUUCUACGUACAGUUCCAUAUCAGGACACAACACACGGUUAUGUCCAUUCUUAAAUACUUGGAACUUUUACAUGCGAAAACCAUAUGAAAUUUACCUGUCAAAACUGUCCAGGAGUGCUCGGAAAGAAAAAUCUUCCAUCCUGAGCUACCGAAAUUUUGGUAUGUUUUGGCUUGCUUCUUCUGUAGGACUUCUCUAGAUGAACUAUAGUCCAAAUCAGCUUAUAGACACAUUUCAGCUAUCAUUAUAUCACUCUGUUUCUUAGGCUACCUUAUUGAUACUUUUCUUACUGGCCAACUUCCUAUUUGUAUCUCUAUAUUCGGGGCCGUGAUGUGUUCUCUUUAUUUUGCAAUACUACACGAAGGUAGCAUACUCGAGUUCAGAUAUGCUACAUGGCAGAAACAGUUAUUUUUCAGUUUUUUGUAGUAAUUAUCAUGAUGAAACAUGCCAUGUUGUUCUCUUAUAUUUGGCUCAAAAUCAAUUGUCACCAGUCUAAGCUCAUAAUUAUCAUGUACCAUGCUAGGAAUGAUCCAUUCCAGUUGGCAUAUAAACUCCAGUAAAAUGCAAGAGGAAUGAAAUUUUGUUAGUUUUGAUCACCUGCGAGGUUGUUUAAUUGUAGGGUGAAACAAGUUCAUGAUUUUUUUCUAAACCAAGUAACAUAUCAGGUAGGAAGGUGAAUGCUCUAUUGAAUAUUGAUAACCAUACGGGAAAAAAAUAUACUAUGGACUGGUUUUGGGAAAAUGAAUCUAUCUAUCUGGAUUGGUAGGCUUUGAGCAAUAUGCCAUGCCUGACUUGAUUUGUCUUACCCAUCUCUUUAGAAGAAACAUUCUUCUAAAAAUUAUAGAAGACCAGCUCCUCGUGAAGAACGAGGAGAUUAAACAUAGAUGGCAGGAGUACUUCGACACGCUGUUCAAUGGGGAGAAUGAGGGCUAUACCAUUGAACUGGACGACUCCUUUGAUGACAUCAGUAGGCGCUUGUGCGGCGAAUCUAAGAGUUUGUGGUCAAGGAGGCUUUAAAAAGCAUGAAAGGAGGCAAGGUGAUGGACCCUGAUUGUAUUCCCAUUGAGGUGUGGAGAGGCCUCGGAGACAUAGCGGUAGUAUGGCUAACUAAGCUUUCCAACCUCAUUUUUUGGGCAAACAAGAUGCCAGAAGAACAGAGGCAGAAUAUAUUAGUACCAAUCUUCAAGAACAAGGGGGAUGUUCAAGGUUGUACUAAUCACCAUGGAAUUAAGUUGAUGACCUAUACAGUGAAGCUAUGGGAGAGAAUCAUUGAGCACCGCUUAAGAAGAAUGGCAAGCGUGACCAAAAAUCAGUUUGGUUUCAUGCCUGGGAGGUCGAACAUGAAGCCAUUUUCUUGGCACGACAACUUAUGAAGGGAUACAGGGAGCAAAAGAAGGACCUGCAUAUGGUGUUCAUUGACUUGGAGAAGGCCAACGAUAAGAUACCGCGGAAUGUCAUGUGGCGGGCCUUGAAGAAACACAAACUCCCAACAAAGUACAUCACCCUCAUCAAGGACAUGUAUGAUAAUGUUGUGACAAGUGUUCAAACAAGUGUGACGACACUAAUGACUUUCCAAUUAAAAUAGGACUGCAUCAGGGGUCAGGUUUGAGCCCUUAUCUUUUUUGAUUUGGUGAUGUUGUGGUCACAAGGGAUAUACAAAGAGAUAUCCCAUGGUGUAUGCUCUUUGCGGAUGAUGUGGUGCUAGUCGAUGUAAGUUAGAGCUAUGGAGAUAAACCUUGGAAUCAAAAGGUUUUAGGCUUAGUAGAACUAAAACCGAGUACAUGAGGUGCGGUUUCAGUACUACUAGGCACGAGGAGGAGGUUAGUCUAGAUGGGCAGGUGAUACCUCAGAAGGACACCUUCUGAUAUUUGGGGUCAAUGCUGCAAAAGGAUAGGGAUAUCAAUGAAGAUGUCAACACUCAACCAUCGAAUCAAAGCCGGAUGGAUGAAGUGGUGCCAAGCUUUUGGCGUUCUCUGUGACAAGAGAGUCCUGAAGGAAAUAUGCCCUAGAGGCAAUAAUAAAGUUAUUAUUUAUUUCCUUAUAAUCAUGAUAAAUGUUUAUUAUUCAUGCUAGAAUUGUAUUAACCGGAAACAUAAUACAUGUGUGAAUACAUAGACAAACAGAGUGUCAUUAGUAUGCCUCUACUUGACUAGCUCGUUAAUCAAAGAUGGUUAUGUUUCCUGACCAUGAACAAUGAGUUGUUAUUUGAUUAACGAGGUCACAUCAUUAGUUGAAUGAUCUGAUUGACAUGACCCAUUCCAUUAGCUUAGCACCUGAUCGUUUAGUAUGUUGCUAUUGCUUUCUUCAUGACUUAUACAUGUUCCUAUGACUAUGAGAUUAUGCAACUCCCGUUUUCCGGAGGAACACUUUGGGUGCUACCAAACGUCACAACGUAACUGUGUGAUUAUAAAGGAGCAUUACAGGUGUCUCCAAAGGUAGAUGUUGGGUUGGCGUAUUUCGAGAUUAGGAUUUGUCACUCCGAUUGUCGGAGAGGUAUCUCUGGGCCCUCUCGGUAAUGCACAUCACAUAAGCCUUGCAAGCACUGCAACUAAUAUGUUAGUUGUGAGAUGAUGUAUUACGGAACGAGUAAAGAGACUUGCCGGUAACGAGAUUGAACUAGGUAUUGGAUACCGACGAUCAAAUCUCGGGCAAGUAACAUACCGAUGACAAAGGGAACAACGUAUGUCGAGAUGCGGUCUGACCGAUAAAGAUCUUCGUAGAAUAUGUAGGAGCCAAUAUGGGCAUCCAGGUCCCGCUAUUGGUUAUUGACCGGAGACGUGUCUCGGUCAUGUCUACAUUGUUCUCGAACCCGUAGGGUCCGCACGCUUAAGGUUACGAUGACAGUUAUAUUAUGAGUUUAUGCAUUUUGAUGUACCGAAGGUUGUUCAGAGUCCCGGAUGUGAUCACGGACAUGACGAGGAGUCUCGAAAUGGUUGAUACAUAAAGAUUGAUAUAUUGGAAGUCUAUGUUUGGACAUCGGAAGUGUUCCGGGUGAAAUCGGGAUUUUACCGGGUUACCGAGAGGUUACCGGAACCCCCCGGGAGCCAUAUGGGCCAUCAUGGGCCUUAGUGGAAAGGAGAAAGGGGCAGCCCAAGGGGGCUGCGCGCCUCCCCCCUUCCCCUAGUCCUAUUAGGACUAGGAGAGGUGGCCGGCCACCCCUCUCCCUCUUUCCCCCUUGGGAAUCCUAGUUGGAAUAGGAUUGGAGGGGAGUCCUACUCCCGGUAGGAGUAGGACUCCUCCUGCGCCACCUCCUCCUGGCCGGCGCCUCCUCCCCCCUUGGCUCCUUUAUAUACGGAGGCAAGGGGCACCUCUAAACACACAAGUUGACACAAGUUGAUCCACGUGAUCGAUUCCUUAGCCGUGUGCGGUGCCCCCUGCCACCAUAUUCCUCGAUAAUACUGUAGCGGAGUUUAGGCGAAGCCCUGCUGCUGUAGUUCAUCAAGAUCGUCACCACGCCGUCGUGCUGACGAAACUCUUCCCCGACACUUUGCUGGAUCGGAGUCCGGGGAUCGUCAUCGAGCUGAACGUGUGCUCGAACUCGGAGGUGCCGUAGUUUCGGUGCUUGAUCGGUUGGAUCGUGAAGACGUACGACUACUUCCUCUACGUCGUGUCAUCGCUUCCGCAGUCGGUCUGCGUUGGGUACGUAGACAACACUCUCCUCUCGUUGCUAUGCAUCACAUGAUCCUGUGUGCGCGUAGGAAAUUUUUUGAAAUUACUACGAAUCCCAACAGUGGCAUCCGAGCCUAGGUUACUUAUGUUGAUGUUAUAUGCACGAGUAGAACACAAGUGAGUUGUGGACGAUACAAGUCAUACUGCCUACCAGCAUGUCAUACUUUGUUUCGGCGGUAUUGUUGGACGAGACGACCCGGACCAACCUUACGCGUACGCUUACGCGAGACCGGUUCCCUCGACGUGCUUUGCACAUAGAUGGCUUGCGGGCGACUGUCUCUCCAACUUUAGUUGAACCAAGUAUGGCUACGCCCGGUCCUUGAGAAGGUUAAAACGGAGUCUAUUUGACAAACUAUCGUUGUGGUUUUGAUGCGUAGGUGAGAUUGGUUCUUACUUAUGCCCGUAGCAGCCACGUAAAACAUGCAACAACAAAGUAGAGGACGUCUAACUUGUUUUUGCAGGGCAUGUUGUGAUGUGAUAUGGUCAAGGCAUGAUGCUGAAUUUUAUUGUAUGAGAUGAUCAUGUUUUGUAACCGAGUUAUCGGCAACUGGCAGGAGCCAUAUGGCUGUCGCUUUAUUGUAUGCAAUGCAAUCGCGAUGUAAUGCUUUACUUUAUUACUAAACGGUAGUGAUAGUCGUGGAAGCAUAAGAUUGCGAGACGACAACGAUGCUACGAUGGAGAUCAAGGUGUCGCGCCGGUAACGAUGGUGAUCAUGACGGUGCUUCGGAGAUGGAGAUCACAAGCACAAGAUGAUGAUGGCCAUAUCAUAUCACUUAUAUUGAUUGCAUGUGAUGUUUAUCCUUUUAUGCAUCUUAUCUUGCUUUGAUUGACGGUAGCAUUAUAAGAUGAUCUCUCACUAAAUUAUCAAGAAGUGUUCUCCCUGAGUAUGCACCGUUGCCAAAGUUCGUCGUGCCCAGACACCAUGUGAUGAUCGGGUGUGAUAAGCUCUACGUCCAUCUACAACGGGUACAAGCCAGUUUUGCACACGCAGAAUACUCAGGUUAAACUUGACGAGCCUAGCAUAUGCAGAUAUGGCCUCGGAACACGGAGACCGAAAUGUCGAGCGUGAAUCAUAUAGUAGAUAUGAUCAACAUAAUGAUGUUCACCGAUGAAACUACUCCAUCUCACGUGAUGAUCGGACAUGGUUUAGUUGAUUUGGAUCACGUGAUCACUUAGAGGAUUAGAGGGAUGUCUAUCUAAGUGGGAGUUCUUAAGUAAUAUGAUUAAAUUGAACUUAAAUUUAUCAUGAACUUAGUCCUGGUAGUAUUUUGCAAAUCAUGUUGUAGAUCAAUAGCUCGCGUUGUUGCUUCCCUGUGUUUAUUUUGAUAUGUUCCUAGAGAAAAUUGUGUUGAAAAAUGUUAGUAGCAAUGUUGCGGAUUUGAUCCGUGAUCUGAGGUUAAAUCCUCAUUGCUGCACAGAAGAAUUAUGUCCUUAAUGCACCGCUAGGUGACGGACCUAUUGCAGGAGCAAAUGCAGACGUUAUGAACGUUUGGCUAGCUCAAUAUGAUGACUACUUGAUAGUUUAAGUGCACCAUGCUUAACGGCUUAGAAUCGGGACUUCAAAGACGUUUUGAAUGUCAUGGACCAUAUGAGAUGUUCCAGGAGUUGAAGCUAAUAUUUCAAGCAAAUACCCGAGUUGAGAGAUAUGAAGUCUCCAACAAGUUCUAUAGCUAAAAGAUGGAGGAGAAUCGCUCAACUAGUGAGCAUGUGCUCAGAUUGUCUGAGUACUACAAUCGCUUGAAUCAAGUGGGAGUUAAUCUUCCAGAUAAGAUAGUGAUUGACAGAAUUCUAUAGUCACCAUCACCAAGUUAGUAGAACUUCGUGAUGAACUAUGACAUGCAAGGGAUAACGGAAACGAUUCCCAAGCUCUUCGUAAUGCGGAAAUUGACGAAGGUAGAAAUCGAGAAAAACAUCAAGUGUUGAUGGUAGACAAGACCACUAGUUUCAAGAAAAGGGGCAGAAGGAAGAAGGGGAACUUCAAGAAGAACAGCAAGCAAGUUGCUGCUCAAGUGAAGAAGCCCAAGUCUGAUCCUAAUCCUGAGACUAAAUGUUUCUACUGCAAAGGGACUGGUCACUGGAAGCGGAUCUACCCCAAGUGAUUGGCGGAUAAGAAGGAUGGCAAAGUGAACAUAAGUAUAUUUGAUAUACAUGUUAUUGAUGUGUACUUUACUAGUGUUUAUCGCAAACCCUCAGUAUUUGAUACUAGUUCAGUUGCUAAGAUUAGUAACUCGAAAUGGGAGUUGCAGAAUAAACAAAGACUAGUUAAGGGUGAAGUGACGAUGUGUGUUGGAAGUGGUUCCAAGAUUGAUAUGAUCAUCGUCACACACUCCCUAUACUUUCGGGAUUAGUGUUGAACCUAAAUAAGUGUUAUUUGGUGUUUGCGUUGAGCAUGAAUAUGAUUUGAUCAUGUUUAUUGUAAUACGAUUAUUCAUUUAAGUAAGAGAAUAAAUUGUUGUUCUGUUUACAUGAAUAGAACCUUAUAUGGUUACACACCCAAUGAAAAUAGUUUGUUGGAUCUCGAUCGUAGUGAUACACAUAAUCAUAAUAUUGAAACCAAAAGAUGCAAAGUUAAUAAUGAUAAGUGCAACUUGUUUGUAGCACUGCCGUUUAGGUCAUAUUGGUGUAAAGCGCAUGAAGAAACUCCAUACUGAUGGAAUUUUGGAAUCACUUGAUUAUGAAUCACUUGAUGCUUGCGAACUGUGCCUUUUGGGCAAGAUGACUAAAACUCCGUUCUCCGAAACAAUGGAACGAGCUACUGACUUAUUGGAAAUAAUACAUACCGAUGUAUGCGAUCCAAUGAGUGCUGAUGCUCGUGGCAAGCAUCGUUGUUUUCUGACCUUCACAAGAUGAUUUGAGCAGAUAUGGGUAUAUCUACUUGAUGAAACAUAAGUCUGAAAUAGUUGAAAGGUUCAAAGAAUUUCAGAGUGAAGUGGAAAAAUCAUCGUAACAAGAAAAUAAAGUUUCUACGAUCUGAUCGCGGAGACAAAUAUUUGAGUUACGAGUUUGGUCUUCAAUUAAAACAAUGUGGAAUAGUUUCACAGCUCACGCCACCUGGAACACCACAUCGUUAUGGUGUGUCCGAACGUCGUAACCGCACUUUAUUUGAUAUGGUGCGAUCUAUGAUAUCUCUUUACCACUAUCGUUUUGGGGUUAUGCAUUAGAGACAGCUGCAUUCACGUUUUAAAAUAGGGCACCAUCUAAAUCCGUUGAGACGACACUGUAUGAACUAUGGUUUAGCAGUAAACCUAAGCUGUUGUUUCUUAAAGUUUGGGGCUGCGAUGCUUAUGUGAAAAAGUUUCAUCCUGAUAAGCUCGAACCCAAAUCGGAGAAGUGCGUCUUCAUAGAAUACCCAAAGGAAAUUGUUGGGUACACCUUCUAUCACAGAUCCGAAGGCAAGACAUUCGUUGCUAAAAUGGAUCCUUUCCAGAGAAGGAGUUUCUCUCGAAAGAAGUGAGUGGGAGGAGAGUAGAACUUGAUGAGGUAAUUAUACCUUCUCCCUUAUUGGAAAGUAGUUCAUCACAGAAAUCAGUUCCAGUGAUUCCUACACCAAUAAGUGAGGAAGUUAAUGAUGGUGAUCAUCAAACUUCAGAUCAAGUUACUACCAAACCUCGUAGGUCUUCCAGAGUAAGAUCCGCACCAGAGUGGUACGGUAAUCAUGUUCUGGAAGUCAUGUUACUAGACCAUGAUGAACCUACGAACUAUGAGGAAGCAAUGAUGAGCCCAGAUUCCACGAAAUGGCUUGAGGCCAUGAAAUCUGAGAUAUGAUCCAUGUAUGAGAACAAAGUGUAGACUUUGAUUGACUUGCCCGAUGAUCGGUGAGUCAUUAAGAAUAAAUGGAUCUUCAAGAGGAAGACGGACGUUGAUAGUAGUGUUACUAUCUACAAAGCUAGACUUGUCGAAAAAGGUUUUUGACAAAGUUCAAGGUGUUGAAUACGAUGAGAUUUUCUUACUCGUAUCGAUGCUUAAAAGUCUGUCCGAAUCAUGUUAGCAAUUGCCGCAUUUUAUGAUUAUGAAAUUUGGCAGAUGGAUGUCAAAACUGCAUUCUUGAAUGGAUUUCUGGAAGAAGAGUUGUAUAUGAUGCAACCGGAAGGUUUUGUCGAUCCAAAGGGAGCUAACAAAGUGUGCAAGCUCCAGCGAUCCAUUUAUGGACUGGUGCAAGAAUCUCGGAGUUGGAAUAUACGCUUUGAUAAGUUGAUCAAAGCAUAUAGUUUUUGUACAGACUUACGGUGAAGCCUGUAUUUACAAGAAAGUGAGUGGGAGCACUACAACAUUUCUGAUAAGUAUAUGUGAAUGACAUAUUGUUGAUCAGAAAUAAUGUAGAAUUAUUCUGCAAAGCAUGAAAGGAUACUUGAAUAAAAGUUUUUCAAAGAAAGACCUUGGUGAAGCUGCUUACACAUUGAGCAUCAAGAUCUAUAUAGAUAGAUGAAGACGCUUGAUAAGAUUUUUCAAUGAAUACAUACCUUGAUAAAUUUUUGAAAUAGUUCAAAAUGGAACAGUCAAAGAAGGAGUUCUUGCCUGUGUUGCAAGGUGUGAAGUUGAGUAAGACUCAAAGCCCGACCACGGCAGAAAAUAGAAAGAGAAUGAAAGUCAUUCCCUAUGCCUCAGUCACAGGUUCUAUAAAGUGUGCCAUGCUGUAUACCAGAUCUAUUGUAUGCCAUACCACUGAGUUUGGCAAGGGAGUACAAUAGUGAUCUAGGAGUAGAUCACUGGAGAGCGGUCAAAAUUGUCCUUAGUGGAAUAAGGAUAUGUUUCUCGAUUAUGGAAAAAGGUUCGUCGUAAAGGGUUACGCCGAUGCAAGUUUGACACUAAUCUAGAUGACUCUAAGUCUCGAUCUAGAUACAUAUUGAAAGUGGGAGCAAUUAGCUAGAGUAGCUCCAUGCAGAGCAUUGUUGACAUAGAAAUUUGCAAAAUACAUGAGGAUCUGAAUGUGGCAGACCCGUUGACUAAGAUUCUCUCACAAGCAAAACAUGAUCACACCUUAGUACUCCUUGGGUGUUAAUCACAUAGCGAUGUGAACUAGAUUACUGAAUCUAGUAAACCCUUUGGGUGUUGGUCACAUAGCGAUGUGAACUAUGGGUGUUAAUCACAUGGUGAUGUGAACUAUUGCUGUUAAAUCACAUGGCGAUGUGAACUAGAUUAUUGACUCCAGUGCAAGUGGGAGACUGAAGGAAAUAUGCCCUAGAGGCAAUAAUAAAGUUAUUAUUUAUUUCCUUAUAUCAUGAUAAAUGUUUAUUAUUCAUGCUAGAAUUGUAUUAACCGGAAACAUAAUACAUGUGUGAAUACAUAGACAAACAGAGUGUCACUAGUAUGCCUCUACUUGACUAGCUCGUUAAUCAAAGAUGGUUAUGUUUCCUGACCAUGAACAAUGAGUUGUUAUUUGAUUAACGAGGUCACAUCAUUAGUUGAAUGAUCUGAUUGACAUGACCCAUUCCAUUAGCUUAGCACCUGAUCGUUUAGUAUGUUGCUAUUGCUUUCUUCAUGACUUAUACAUGUUCCUAUGACUAUGAGAUUAUGCAACUCCCGUUUGCCGGAGGAACACUUUGGGUGCUACCAAACGUCACAACGUAACUGGGUGAUUAUAAAGGAGCAUUACAGGUGUCUCCAAAGGUAGAUGUUGGGUUGGCGUAUUUCGAGAUUAGGAUUUGUCACUCCGAUUGUCGGAGAGGUAUCUCUGGGCCCUCUCGGUAAUGCACAUCACAUAAGCCUUGCAAGCACUGCAACUAAUAUGUUAGUUGUGAGAUGAUGUAUUACGGAACGAGUAAAGAGACUUGCCGGUAACGAGAUUGAACUAGGUAUUGGAUACCGACGAUCAAAUCUCGGGCAAGUAACAUAGCGAUGACAAAGGGAACAACGUAUGUCGAGAUGCGGUCUGACCGAUAAAGAUCUUCGUAGAAUAUGUAGGAGCCAAUAUGGGCAUCCAGGUCCCGCUAUUGGUUAUUGACCGGAGACGUGUCUCGGUCAUGUCUACAUUGUUCUCGAACCCGUAGGGUCCGCAAGCUUAAGGUUACGAUGACAGUUAUAUUAUGAGUUUAUGCAUUUUGAUGUACCGAAGGUUGUUCAGAGUCCCGGAUGUGAUCACGGACAUGACGAGGAGUCUCGAAAUGGUCGAGACAUAAAGAUUGAUAUAUUGGAAGUCUAUGUUUGGACAUCGGAAGUGUUCCGGGUGAAAUCGGGAUUUUACCGGGUUACCAGGAGGUUACCGGAACCCCCCGGGAGCCAUAUGGGCCAUCAUGGGCCUUAGUGGAAAGGAGAAAGGGGCAGCCCAAGGGGGCUGCGCGCCUCCCCCCUUCCCCUAGUCCUAUUAGGACUAGGAGAGGUGGCCGGCCACCCCUCUCCCUCUUUCCCCCUUGGGAAUCCUAGUUGGAAUAGGAUUGGGGGGGGGGGGUCCUACUCCCGGUAGGAGUAGGACUCCUCCCGCGCCUCUCCCUCUUGGCCGGCGCCCCCUUCCCCCUUGGCUCCUUUAUAUACGGAGGCAGGGGCACCUCUAAACACACAAGUUGACACAAGUUGAUCCUCGUGAUCGAUUCCUUAGCCGUGUGCGGUGCCCCCUGCCACCAUAUUCCUCGAUAAUACUGUAGCGGAGUUUAGGCGAAGCCCUGCUGCUGUAGUUCAUCAAGAUCGUCACCACGCCGUCGUGCUGACGAAACUCUUCCCCGACACUUUGCUGGAUCGGAGUCCGGGGAUCAUCAUCGAGCUGAACGUGUGCUCGAACUCGGAGGUGCCGUAGUUUCGGUGCUUGAUCGGUUGGAUCGUGAAGACGUACGACUACUUCCUCUACGUCGUGUCAUCGCUUCUGCAGUCGGUCUGCGUUGGGUACGUAGACAACACUCUCCUCUCAUUGCUAUGCAUCACAUGAUCCUGUGUGCGCGUAGGAAAUUUUUUGAAAUUACUACGAAUCCCAACAAGUCCCACAAAAGCUAAAAGGCAGGUUGUACAGCGGUGAUUCGACCUGCAAUGUUGUAUGGCGUUGAGUGUUGGGCGACUAAACGGCAUCUACUUGUCAUAUCCUUGCUGACGGUUUCUUGCUCAGAUUUGGGAUCGAGAACGUGAUACUCGGGGAAGAAGAAGAAACCAGAGAGAUAAGGGGUAGGAGGAAAGAAAAUGUGAGCUUAUAUAUAGCUCGUACAUUUUCACACACUCAGCCCACCAGGCUCUCACACUUACAUGGCUGAAAGCCCAAAUGAACAAGACACUCUCAGAUGGCCACUAGUUACUCAAAUAUUUCCCUUGGCGCCGCUCUCGACCUCCUUCAUCUUCUUCUUCCCAUGUUCUGCAGCUGUCAGGGUGACAUCACUGACAGGUCCUGGCUCUCCAGAACCAAGUUGUCCCCUACCUGGGGCAUUUGGAAACUUCUGAUGUGUAGUCUCAUAAUCUUCCUAAGUUGCAUAAGAGGCAGGCAAACCUUUCCAUUGAAGGAGCGCUUGCAGCAGAAAGCAUUACCUUUCUUAACCAAGUGCCGAUCCAAAAUAAGUUCAGGCUGAAGAUCUUCCGUAUCAAGUAACAGAGGUGCUGGUGAAGUGGUAAAGAUUGGAGUGUGGUCAGGGGUCUGUUGUUUCAAUUGAGACGCACAAAACACCGGAUGCACCUGACUACUCGCAGGAAUAGCAAGCUGAUAUGCCACUGGACCUAUUUUCUCCAGAAUUUUGUAGGGACCAAAAUACUUGAAAGCUAAUUUGAGAAAUGGCCGCUUGAUCACCGAUGGUUUAGCAUAAGGUUGAAGCUUUAGAAACACAUAAUCUCCAACCUGGAAUUCCCUUGGUGAUCUGUGUUAGGAAGUCUUUCCUAACAAUCUGUUCUUAUCUUCCUCAGACUUCAUUUUGCACUGAGCCCUGUAUAGUCGAACUUUUAGAUGUUCAGAGUAUAAAUGCCACUCAUGCAGCCAACUCUCCAAGUCAGUAUUGUCGGUAGCUUGAGGGCGAGGCAAUUCUCCCAGGUGUGGCUCAUGACCAUAAAGGGCUUUAAAAGGAGAACCACCCAAGGAGGAAUGAUGAGACAUAUGAGCAGUCGCCGCCCACCCUCGUGCACCUGGAUCGCGUGUUCUGCACAUCAGACUGGGAGGACGCGCACGGCGACUGCCACCUACGGUGCCUCGCUUCCGUCGUGUCAGACCACUGCCCACUCCUCCUCGACUGCUCACCCACGCACGCGGCGCACCGACGCUUCCACUUUGAGGACUUUUGGACGGGUUCCACGAAACGGUGGCCACGGCUUGGGGAUCUGCCCAUGACACGGACCCCUUCCGGCGGCUAAUGUUGCGCCUCCAGGCUACUGCCCGCGCGCUGACUAGCUGGAGCGCCAAGUCCAAGGGGAACAUCCGCGACAAGCUUGCGAUCUCCCGAGAGCUGAUCUUGCGCUUCGACAAGGCCCAGGAGGACCGUGUCCUCUCCCCUCCCGAAGACUGGUUGCGGAAACAGCUAAAGAUCGCCUACCUUGGGCUGGCGUCCUUGGAGCGCACGAUCGCAAGGCAACGGGCACGGAUCGCCACCCUCAGGGACGGAGACGCUAACACGGCCUUUUUCCAUCGUCAGUGUUCCUAUCACCGGCAGAAAAAUCAUAUAUUCAGCCUCACCGUGGAUGGACAUGUGAUCACGGAUCAAGAGGGGAUGGCGCAGGCGGCCUUCGCACACUUCGACGAGCUGCUGGGCACAACCGGCAGACGCGACCACUCGCUGGACUUGGCGCAGCUCGUAGAGCCGAGUGACCUGGCAAGCCUGGAUGCCCCGUUCACUCCCAACGAGAUAUGGGAUGGGGUCAAACGCCUCCCGGCCCGCAAGGCGCCCGGACCCGACGGCUUUACAGCCGAAUUUCUGCGGGCCUGCUGGGGCAUCGUCAGGCAAGACUUCUUCGACGUCUUCCAACAACUCUACGAGCUGCACGGUCGAGGCUUCAGCAAGCUUAACCAAGCACUCUUGACUCUGCUCCCGAAGCGCGCCGACGCCUGCCAUCUCCGUGAUUAUCGCCCGAUCUGCCUGAUUCACCUUGUGGCGAAGAUCUUCGCGAAAGUGCUCUCACUACGCCUAGCGCCCAGGCUGACGGACUUGGUUAGCCGGAACCAGAACGCUUUCAUCCCGGGUCGGAGUCUCCACGACAACUUCGUCCUUGUCAGGCAAUCAAUGAAGAUGAUGCACCAACUUGGGGCCCCAAGAGUCAUGCUAAAACUUGACCUCACACGAGCGUUCGACUCCCUAUCCUGGCCCUUCCUCUUCGAAGUGCUGGGCCAGUAUGGGUUUGGGCCCAGAUUUAGGAAAUGGCUCGCAAUUCUGCUCUCGACCUCGAGCACCCGGAUCAUGCUAAAUGGCGAGCCAGGGCCGCCAAUAUGGCACCGAUGCGGACUGCGCCAAGGUGACCCCGUGUCGCCACAGCUCUUCGUGCUCGCCGUGGACACCCUCGGACGCCUUAUCCGCCGCGCCCACGAUUCUGACAUCCUGCAGCAGCUGCACCCGCGGCGUACAAUACCGGCCAUCUCCUUAUACGCCGACGACGUGAUGAUAUUCUGCCACGCUACUCCAGGCGACAUGGAGGCAAUCAAGGGCAUCGUAAGCCUGUUCGGAGGAGCCAGCGGCCUACGGGUGAAUUACACCAAGAGCUCAGCCACCAUCUUACACGGCGACCCCGACGCGGCCACAACGAUUGCUCAAGCAGGAUGCGCGAUGGCCGAGCUGCCCAUCACCUAUCUUGGCAUUCCACUUACGCUGCGACGCCCCUCCGCCACCUAGCUACAGCCCCUCGUCAAUUCCGUGGCUGCUAGGCUCCCUGCAUGGAAGGCAUGGCUCAUGAACAAGGCCGGAAGACUAGCACUGGUCAAAUCGGUGCUCUCAGCCAUCCCGGUCCACCAAAUGCUUGCAUUUGCCCCACCCAAGAAGAUGCUCAAGCAGCUGGAAAAGAUCCAACGAGGCUUCCUAUGGGCUGGACGCGCAACAGCCAACGGUGGACACUGCCAUGUCAACUGGCGCAAUGUGUGCCGGCCGUUGGAGCACGGCGGCUUGGGGAUCCGGGACCUGGAGCGUGCCGGCCUAGCGCUGAGGCUGCGAUGGCUAUGGUACGCGCACACGGACGACGACCGCGCUUGGCAAGGGCUCGACCUCCAAUUCUCUAGAGAGGAGCGCACGCUAUUCUUCGCCUCCACCACCAUGGUCCUUGGGGAUGGAGCGACGGCCCUGUUCUGGGAAGAUCGCUGGCUACAUGGACAGUCAGUUUGCGAGCUCGCCCCUGCGCUACAUCAAUGCAUCCCCAAGCGGCUACGCAAGGCGAGAACGGUGGCGGAAGGCCUAAUGGGCAAUGCUUGGGCAUGAGACAUCCAAGGGGUGCUUGGGAUCCACGAGAUUGGGCAAUACCUCAUGCUAUGGCAGGCCGUGCAGAACAUCUCCCUCAUGCACGAGCCUGACCGAUUGCGCUGGAGGUGGACGUCCAGCGGCACCUACACAGCACAAUCUUGCUAUGCCGCAACAUUCCAUGGAUCCACGAGGUGCCCUUCUUGGAAGCUGACAUGGAAGAGUUGGGCACCGCUGCGUGUCCGGUUCUUUCACUGGCUUGCCAACCAGGACCGCUGCUGGACGGCGACAUGCCUAGCGCGCCACGGCCUGCCACACCACCCAAGAUGCCUCCUAUGCGAUCAGGCCCCUGAGACAAUCCAGCACCUGCUCCUGGCCUGGCCAUUCUCCAGGCAGAUCUGGCAUGCCAUCCUGGACUGGACACGCAUCCCCUUGCAGCCACCGAACAGCGAGCCGACGCUCAUGGACUGGUGGCAGAAAACGAAAAGGCAGACGCCCCACGCGCUGCGCAAAGGCCUACAGUCCAUCGCCAUGCUCAUCCCAUGGAUGAUAUGGAAGCACCGGAACGAAUGCGUCUUUGAAAAUGCGCGACCCUCGGUAGAAGAUUUAGUGGAUAGGAUUAAGGCCGAGGCCAAGUGCUGGGCACAAGCCGGGGCACAGGGGCUCAGGAUUAUCCUGCCCACAUCCUGGGACGUCCACUGAAGGGGUACUUGACCCUUGUAGCACUAGCCUCCUAGGAGGAUUGUAAUCUCCCAUCUUUUCAAUGCAAUGAAGCGCAAAUCCUUUGCGUUUUCUCGAAAAAUAUUGUACCAGAAUUUUGCUAAGGGAAGCCAAUUAACCCAUUUAGUAGGUGUGUCAUUAAUAGAGCAUCUGAGAUACAUUUAUAAACACUGAUUGACUCUCUCAGAUUGCCCAUCAGUUUGAGGAUGUCGAGCAGUAGACAUCUGAAGUUUGGAUCCCCACAAAGUAAACAAUUCUUUCCAAAAUUUGCUCGUGAACAAUGGAUCUCUGACUCUAUCAGAAGUGAUUGUGUAAGGCACACUAUGUAACUUGACAAUUUUCUGUAAGAAUAACUGAGCAACUGAAGCUGCGGUGUAUGGAUGUUUCAAUGGAAUCAAAAAUCUGUCCACCACCACCAGGAUGACAGAAUUGUUAGAUAAGUGAGCAACUAGUAUUUCCUAAGGGCCAAAGGCCAUUACAUAUACAUGUGUGUCAAAGUGCAGAAAACCCCUUAUACAAUGGGGAUAUACCGAAAAGGGACUAUACACAUCUAACACCCCCCUCAAACUCAUGGUGGAUCAACAACACUGAGUUUGGAGAGGAAAAAGCCGUGCUACGCUCGAGUCUGUGCCUUGGUGAAGAAGUCCGCCAACUGUAACUCAGAGGGCACAUAGUGAAGAGCGAGAGUCUGAUCCUGCACAGCAGCACGCACAAAGUGGGCAUCCACACCGAUGUGCUUGGUGAGCUCAUGCUUCACCGGGUCACGCGCAAUACUGAUAGCGCCAGUACUGUCUGACAGUAGGGGAGUCGAGGUAGUAGCAAACACACCAAAAUCCUCAAGUAACCACCGUAACCAGAUCACCUCAGCCGUCAACAUAGCCAUGGCUCGCAACUCAGCCUCUGUACUCGAGCGAGAAACUGCAGUCUGUUUCUUUGUCUUCCAGGCAAUGAGGGAGCCACCAAGAAAGACACAAUAAGCAGAGAACGAGCGGCGAUCAGAGGGAUCACUAGCCCAGGUCGCAUCAGAGUAGGCCUGGAGCUCAAGAGAGCUGGAGCGGGGAAAGAAAAGGCGUUGAGAGAUCGUGCCACGAAGAUAUCGUAGAACACGGAGGAGGUGACUAUAGUGGACGGAGGUGGGAGCUGCGACAAAUUGACUCAGGAUGUGGACAGGAUAGGAGAUGUCAAGACGCGUAACAGCAAGAUAGACAAGGCUGCCAACGAGGUGAUGAUAGCGAGUGGGAUUAGGGAAAGGGUCACCAUCGGUGGCACGAAGCUGAACGUUGAGCUCCAUAGGAGUCACAACCGUGCGCUCAUCACCGAGAGCAGCGCGAGCAAGAAGAUCCUGAAUAUAUUUUUCUUGGGAGAUGUAGAAGCCAUCAGAGGUUGAGGAGAUCUCAAUCCCAAGAAAGUAGCUAAGUGGACCAAGAUCAGUCAUAAGAAACUGGUCGCGAAGGCGAGCCUUAACAAAGGCAAUGUAAUCAGUGUCGUCACCAGUGAUGAUCAUGUCAUCAACAUAGAGAAGGAGAAGAGUCCGACCACAAGGAGACGUGUGAACAAACAGCGCGGGAUCAUGGUCACUGGGCAAGAAACCAGCAGCGGUCACCACAGAUGCGAAGCGCUCAAACCAGGCGCGAGGGGCCUGUUUGAGACCAUAUAGGGAGCGGCGAAGUCUACAGACCAUACCAUCAGGAGCAUAGUACCCCUGUGGUGGCUGCAUAUAAACCUCCUCACGCAACUCGCCAUUGAGAAAAGCGUUCUGAACAUCAAGUUGAGAGAUAGACCACUGACGAACAGAAGCCACAACAAGAAGAGUGCGGACAGUGGUCAUGUGGGCCACAGGAGCGAAUGUCUCAUCAUAAUCGCGCCCCUGCUCCUGCUGAAAGCCACAGGCCACAAGACGAUCUUUGUAGCGCUCAAGAGAACCAUUAGAGCAAGUCUUAAGCUUGUAGACCCACUUGUAGGUGAUGGGACGAACACCGGAAGGGAGGGGAACCAGAUCCCAUGUGCCAGAGCGCUCAAGGGCAGCGAGCUCCUUGGCCAUCGCAAGCUGCCAUUCAGGCUGAGUCAUGGCAAUGUGAUAGGAAGUGGGCUCAGUCAAAACAGAGAGACCGUACCGAUCAGGGGAGUAGCGAUCAGGCGGAGGGCGAGGCCGAGCAUGGAGGUUGUGAACCGGGGGAGGCAUGAGAGGAGGUGCACCAGAGGUGGAAGGCUCGUCAGAGGAGACAUCCUCAGUACGAGAUCGACGAGUAUAGUGGAAAGGAAACGAUGAGAGAGGGUGACAGACUGGAGAGGAUGGGGGAGAGGUGGAGGAGGAGGAUGGGGAAGACGGGGUCGGUGGUGAAUGAGAAGGAAUGAGAGGUGCCUGAGGAAGAGGUGACACAUGAGGCACAUAGCAGGGUGUAUCGGGAAGAAGAAGGAAAGAAAGAUCGUCCACAGAGAAACUCGAGGAAGAAGGACGUGGGUAGUAAGAGCGAGACUCGUUAAAAGUCACAUCACGCGAGAUGCGCAAGCGACGACCCACUGGAUCCCAACAUCGAUAGCCCUUGUGCUCAUCACUGUAGCCAAGGAAAACACACUCAACUGACUGAGCAGUCAGUUUGGUGCGUUCUCGGGGGGCAAGAAGAACAUAGCAGAUGCAUCCAAACAUACGAAGAGCUGAGUAGUCUGGGGAGCGACCAGUGAGACGCUCCAUAGAAAUGCCACCCUGCAGAGCAGUCGAUGGCUGAAUGUUGAUGAGAUAGGUGGAUGCGGAAACAGCCUCAGCCCAAAAAUGGGGUGGAAGGGAAGCAACAAUCAUCAGCGCACGAGCCGUCUCAAGCAAAUGACGACGCUUUCGCUCGGCAACGCCAUUCUGAGCAUGAGCACCAGGACAGGAGAACUGGGCAAGAGUUCCUUGUUCCGCGAUAAAACCACGCAACAGCUAAGAGAUAUACUCUCCAGCGGAGUCAGCACAAAAAGUACGAAUGGGCGUGGCAAACUGGGUGUGAACCAUGGCAUCAAAAUGUUUGUAUAUAGAGACAACCUCGCUACGAGAUUUCAUGAAGUAGAGCCAAGUGUAGCGAGAGAAAUCAUCAAUAAACAAAACAUAGUAGCGAUGACCACCUUUCGAAUCAAAGGGAGCAGGACCCCCAGACAUCAGAAUGAACUAAGUCAAAAUGACGCUGAGAUACAGACUCACUAGUAGGAUAAGGUAACUGAGUCUGUUUGCCAAGUCUGCAACCAUUACAAUGUAAGAAGACAUCUCCAGAUACAGACCCUAAGAGACCCUGACGAACUAAGGAAGACAAGCGAGAGCCAUAGAUGUGACCAAGUCGAUGAUGCCACUGCUGGAAGGACGCAGACGAAGAGGCAGCAAGAGCAUGAGAGCUGGCAGAUGUGGUGGCAGCGGAAGGAACACAAAGCCAGUCAACCUCCCAAAGGCCCUCUGACUCACGGCGCCGGGGGCCAGCACCAACCAAAGUCUUGGUGCGACGAUCCUGAAUGGAGCAAGAGUCGGUAUCAAGAAUGACACGACAACCAGAAUCAGUAAGUUGGGCAGCGGAAAAAAGAUUCAUGGUUGGCGAGGAACAUGUGAAACACUCGAAAUAGAAAAAGAUGGAGUGGAAAGAAUACCACGACUAGCAACAGGAAGAGAUGUGCCAUCGGCAGUAAGAACAUUAACAGGCGAAUCAAGAGGUCGGAGAGAAGACAACGCAGAAGAAUCAGAAGACAUAUAAAAGGAGAUUCCAGAAUCCAGGACCCACGAAGAUGUACCUGACUGUGUAGAUGCCUGUGAUGGUGAGGAGGAGGAUGCAGUCACAGCAGCAGCAGAACCAGUCAACGAGGAGCCUGAGGAAGCAAGAAGACGCUUAAGGCGAACAAUGUCCUGGUCAGUGAGUGACGGAGUCGAGGAAGACACAGGAGGCCCGCUGGAGGAGGAGCGCCUUUGGUCUCGCUUCUUCUGGCGACAAUCAAACUCUGGGUGACCCGGCCGGGAGCAGUAACCACAGACGGUGUCACGGCGCAACGUGCCCUUCUCAGCAUAAGAAGGACGGCUCACCCCCCCUGGAGGAGUAGGCAGGAGCGGCGGAGCAGUGAGGCGAGCAGACGACAUAGGAGCCCGGGCAGCCAAUACUAAAGGAAUCACAAGUAACCCAGCAGAGCGAAGUUGGGUCUCCUCAGCACGAAGCUCAGCAAGUACCUCCGAGAUAGGAACACGACCACGAGCAAGCAGGUGAGCACGUCGAGGCUCAAACUCAGAGCGGAGACGAGAUAAGAACUCAUGAACCCACUGAAACUCCAAAUCGGACCGUGUAGUCUGACAGCAACGGCAAGUUCCACAAACAACUGUCCGAAGAGAGUCAAGCUGGCGCCAGAUGGCAGAACACUGUGAAUAGAACUCAUCAACAGAGGAAUCACCUUGCUGAAGUGCAUGCUCCUGACGCACCACGGAUAGGUAGAGAGCAUCACCAGAAGGCUGAUAUCGCUGAUAGAGGUAAGACCACAUCGCUGCAACUGUGCCAAGUCCCAUGAACUCUGAAGCAAACUGAGGGAGGACACUCGCAGUGAGAACAGCAGCAGCACGCGCAUCAUUAUUGCACCACUGAGUGUAGGCAGACAGAUCAUCACGGUACACAGAAAGAGCAUCUGAAUAAGCUGAUACCUGUUGGUCAUAAGCAUCACCUGCAACAUCAUCGAGAGCCUUGGCUGCAUCCCGGUCAGCCUGAGAAGCAUCAGCAGCAAGUACCGGCGGUACCGGUGGGAUUGGGGCCGCAGGUGCAACAAGGCAUGACGGACAAGGGACCUCUCCAGAGAGAACACCCCACAGAAGAAGGCCACACAUAUGAAUGCGCAUGAAGCCCACAAACUCAGCAUAGUUUGUGCCAUCAAAGAUCACCGAACACCUAGGAACAGCGACAUAGCCCGAAGAAGACAUGACGAGGUCUUCUGUUGCUCUUUCUGUUUAGUCUCUCCUUUUUUUGGUAAGUCAACGCACCCGACACACCCGAUCUGGAUCGGGCUGGAGAGCAAGCGAGGCAGCCCCGCUCGAUCUGAAGCAGGGGGCGCAAGGACGGGCGACCCGACCAAGCUCGAUUUGAAGCAGGGCGGCCUGGCUCUGCUCGAUAGGAAGCAGGGGCGGGGGAGGCAGCCAAGGGCUAGCGGCGCCCGAGGAACAGCCGAGGGCGGCUGCAGCCGGCCGGGAUGGGAGCGCCGGCGACCCGGGAACAGCCGAGGGCGGCGGCAGCCGGUCAGGACGGGGGCGUCGGCGGCCAGGCACGUGGAGGGCAACCGGAUCCAGAGGCAGGGUGGCGGCGGCCGGUCGGGACGGGGGCGGCGGCGGCCAGGCGCGUGGAUCCAGAGGCGGGGUCGGCCGGAGGAGAAGGUGCCUGGUCCGAGCAGGCUGCAGGAGCGAGCGCCGGGUCCAGUCAGUAGCAGGAGCCGUGCCAGACCAAGAGGAGGAUGACGGCAGCAAGAAUCGAGGUAAGGUAGGAGGAAGGCGCACGGAGUUGCGUCGUGCGAGAGAGCGAGGCUAACCUAGCAUACCUAGCAUCUGAUACCAUGUUAGAUAAGUGAGCAACUAGUAUUUCCUGAGGGCCAAAGGCCAUUACAUAUACAUGUGUGUCAAAGUGCAGAAAACCCAUUAUACAAUGGGGAUAUACCGAAAAGAGACUAUACACAUCUAACAAGAAUAACCACAAGAAUUAGGCAGACCUUCAAUAAAAUCCAUGGUCAAAUCCUCCCAGGCACCUUUGUGGAACAGGCAGCGGGUUAAGGAAACCUGGAUACUUGAAUUGUUCAUGUUUAGCCUGCUGAGAGAUCUGACAUUCUGGAAAAAUUUGUGAUCGCUUGGUUUAGGCCAGUCCAGUGAAACUCUGAUAAGUUGCCUGAUUUCCAAAAUGCCCCCCCUAUAGGUCUAGCAUGAAAGGCCUCAAUUGUUUUGGUUUGCAACCCUGAAUUAGCCCCAAUCCAAACAACCCCCCUGGUGUUUUAGUAACCCAUUAUGCGGAGUAAAGUCUGGGACUCCAUCAGGAGUAAGAGCUAACUUCUGCAGUAACUCAUGAGCUUCUUCCCUAAAAAAAUUCAUGAGCUUCUAAAUCUACUGCAUAGGAGCUAACAACUUCCUGUAACCACAAAAGCAUGCCCAAUUCUUGAAAGUGCAUCUGCUGCCUUAUUGUCUACUCCCUUUUUGAACUGAAAUUUGAAUUGUAGCCCAAUUAACUUAGUCAUGGCUUUUCUCUGCAAGUAUGAAGUAAGAAUUUGAUACUCCAAAUUGCACCAAAUGUCCUCUAGAAACAUAUGGCCUCCAUCUAUCCACAACCAUCAUAACUGCUAAAAACUCCUUUUCUUAAAUGAACGGUUUGCUAUUGCUAAUACCCAGAGCUUUACUAUAGUAUGCCAUUAUAUAACCUUGUUAACUGAACAUACCACUUGUACGAGAGUCACAUGCAUCUCUGUUUCAAUACAGAAGGGAUGUGUGAAAUCUGCUAGACGUAAAACAGGAGUGUUACUCAUAGCUUGCUUGAGCUGGUCAAAUGCCACUUGUGCUUCUGGAUACCAAUGCAAAGCCUUCUUUUGCAGAAGUGUAGUUAAUGGUUUUGCCAGAAUAUCAUAAUUUUUGACAAAGUUCAUAUAGUAUCCUGUCAAUCCCCAAAAUCCCCUUAAUUAUGUCGCAAUAGUGGGAAUGGGCCACUGUAACAUAGCUUUUGUCUUCUCAGACUCUGUGGCAACUCCCUUGUCAGAAAUGAUGUGACCUAGGUACUCCAGUUGUUGCUAAGGAAAGAAACACUUGCUCUGUUUUGAAAAUAACAGAUGUUUUCUGAGAAUAUCCAGACCUAGUUUCAGAUGCAUAACAUGGGACUCCAAGUCUUUGCUAUGAACUAAUAUAUCAUCCAUGAAAACCAAUACACAAAUUUUAUGAUAUAGGGUGCAAACACAACAUUCGUGAGGCACUAAAAGGUAGCUGGGGCAGUUGUCAGCCCAAAGGGCAUAACCCUGAAUUGAAAUUUCCCAUGAUGAGUUCUAAAUGCAGUUUUAGCUUCACCUUCCUCUACCAUUCUAAUCUGGUGAUAGCCUGCCCUGAGGUCCAGCUUAGAAAAUCACUUGGUUCCAGCUAACUCAUCCACCACAGGCAUUGGGAAUUUGCUUUUAAUUGUCAGCAAGUUAAGUCUUCUAUAGUCCACUCAGAAUCUCCAUGUCCCAUCUUUUUUCUUGACUAAAAGCACAGGAGAGGCAAAAGGGUCAUACUGGGUGUCACUAUGCUAGCAACAAUCAUUUCAGAGACUUGCUUCUCAAUUUCAUCCAUUUGCAAUGUGGAAUACCUGUAGGGUCUUGAAUUAACUGAAGCACUGUAAGGUAGUGAUGAGAGGCAUGAUCAUAAGCCCUAUGAGAUUGCAACUAUUGUGGAUUUUGAAACACAUCAGUGUAUUCAGGGAGGAGUCGCUGAAUACUUUCAGUUGUAGUUCGCACUGAUACUGCUGCCUCGACAGUUAAUAUUCCAGUAGCCCAGACAUCAUUACCUUCCACACAUUUUUCAAACUGUUCAACAGUCAAUUCUUGCAGUUGUGUAACUGGCUUAUCUUUCAUGCCUUGUAAAGUAACAGUGUGACCCUUGUCCUGAACUAUAUCCAUUUCUCCUCCCAGUGGCAUGUCAUAGGACCCCACUGUGCUAACCAAUCCAUGCCCAAGAUGACAUCAUAACCUCCCAGGGGUACUACUUCAUGUAUGUGGUAAAUGUACGAACCAUGAACCCCUUGUUCACAAGUCAUUGGCCACUUUAACUUUCAGAGGAAGAGGUAGUGUUUUGGUGUUACACUAAAUUUUGUCAGGUAGUUGCUGAUCAGUGAAAGUGUGAGAACUACCAGAGUCCACUAAUAGCAACAUGACCUGAUUAGUUACCAUGGCUCUUAGUCUGACCGUUUCAGGGUUGUUUGUUCCAGAGAAUGCAUUGACAGACAAGAAUGCAGCAGCCUCAGCUAUAGUUUCUGUCAGCUAGCUGCUGAUCAGUGAAAGUGUGAGAACUACCAGAGUCCACUAAUAGCAACAUGACUUGAUUAGCUACCAUGGCUCUUAGUCUGACCGUCUUAGGGUUGUUUGUUCCAGACAAUGCAUUGACAGACAAGAAUGCAGCAGCCUCAGCUACAGUUUCUUCCACUACAAGAGCAUCCAGCAUUGCAUCCUCUAUAUACACCUGUUCCCCCCUGUGGUUUCAAUAGCCUUCACUUGAGCCUCAUUUUUCGUGCAUACAUGUCCAGGAGCAUAUUUGUCUCACAGCUGUAACACACUUUGCUUUGCAGAGAUUCCCAGCAGCAAACUGAGUUCGCUGAACAGGUUCUUGUUGUGGUAUAUACCGAAAAAGGCUUUCGCCCCACUUUAAAUUAUAAAGCAACCGCCCAAACCAAGCAUCCAACAGGGUUCCAUACAAGUCCACACACACGCACACGGAGGUCCACAGGUACACAGACAAGACAUAAGGGUCAAUGCUGAGGGCACAUCACAACAAGCCCUAAACACACACAACACAAAGCCACGAGACGGCCUAGUCAGGCUCUGGCGGAGGGGGCGGCAGCGGGCGAGCCAAGCGGAGCGCCAUCAAGCGAAGGUCGGUGAGGAGGGUGGUGAUGACGUCCCGGUCCUGGGGGCGGCUAAGCGGCCGCCAAAGCUGCAAGUAACCACACAUUUUGAAGAUAGCGUCAGUCGCACGUCGGAGAGGCACCUUCUGAAUGACAAGCUUGUUGCGAAUGUUCCAAAGCGUCCAGGCGAGGAUCCCAAUGCACAACCAUCUCAUAUGGCGGUAGCGAGUAGGGGAGGCGUUGAGUUCCGCAAGUAGGUCGGGGAAGUUGGUAUUGCACCACUGUCCACCGACCGUUUCGCGGAAGCAAGCCCACAUGAACUGGGCAGUAGAGCUCGAGAAGAAGAUGUGGUUAGCAUCCUCGAUCGUGCCAUAGAUGGGACAUCUCCCAUCGCCUGAGCCGUUACGCUUGAGGACUUCAACCCCGGAGGGGAGGCGUCCACGGAUCCAUUGCCACAGGAAGAUCCUGAUCUUCAGAGGGAGGCGGAUGUCCCAGAUCAGGCUAAAGGGUUCCGGGGCCGUCGAGGGCGUGAUGGCGGCGUACAAGGACUUCGUGGAGAAGCGGCCAAAUGGCUCAAGGUGCCAAGAAAUGGCAUCCUGGUCCUCCUCGACGUUCAUCGACAUAAGGGUCACAUCUUGGAGGAGGGAGUCCCAAGCAGCCACCUCGAGGGGGCCGAAGGGGCAACGGAAAGCAAGACGCCCUAAGUCAAUAAGGGCCGUCUCGACAGAGACCCGAGGGUCGGCCGCAAUGGCAAAGAGAUCUGGGAAUCGCACAGCCAAGGGGGAGUCUCCUAGCCAUCGGUCGAACCAGAACAGGGUCGAGGACCCGAAGCCAACAGAGAUGGAAGUACCGAUGCGGAGGAUGGGCAGAAGCUGGAUCACGGACUGCCAGAACUGGGAUCCACCCAUACGCUGGCAAAAGGCCAGAGGUUGGCCCCUAAGGUAUUUAUUACGGAUGAUGGUAAGCCAGAGGCCUCCCUCCCCAUUGGCGAUGCGCCACAGCCAGCGGGUCAGGAGAGUGAUGUUCAUGCGACGAGAUGAUAGGAUCCCAAGGCCACCCUGGUCUUUGGGUUUGCAAAUGUCGGGCCAGCUCACCAUGUGAUACUUCUGCUUGUCUCCCUCGCCCGCCCAAUAGAACCUCGACUAGUAUUUAGCGACCUCCUGAUGGAGGGUCUCAUGGAGGCUGUAGAAGCUCAUGAGAAACCAGAGAAGCCUAGCAAGCGAGGAGUUGAUUAGAAUCAUCCUGGCCUCUUUCGACAGCCAACGUCCCCGCCAAGGUUCAACCCGGUGCUGCAUCCUAGUCACCGUCGGGCGGAGAUCAGCCACGGUGAGCCUGGAGUCACUAAUGGGUAUCCCCAGGUAGGUCAUGGGGAAGGAACCCAAGUGGCAGUUCAGCCGGUCCGCAAUGGACAACGCCUCCUCCGGAGGGUAGCCAAGGACCAUCACUUUGCUCUUAUCGAAGUUAAUGGUGAGCCCAGACAUCUGUUGGAAACACAAGAGGAACUUUAGGUUGGUGAUGUCGGACGCGGAGCCCUCCACCAUAACUAUGGUGUCAUCCACAUAUUGGAGGAGGGAGACCCCUCCCCCACCCACAAGGUGGGGGACAACGCCGCGGAGAUGGCCACAAGUUUUGGCCUUAUCAAGAAUGCCUGCGAGGGCAUCGACAACCAUGUUGAAUAGAAACGGGGAGAACGGAUCGCCCUGGCGCACCCCACAUAAGGUGGGGAAGUAAGGUCCGAUCUCGCCGUUGAUGUUGACCGCCGUCCGACCGCAGGUGACCAAUUGCAUAACGCGGGUCACCCAACGGUCGUCGAAACCCUUACGAAGCAGAACUUCCCGAAGGAAGGGCCAGUGGACAGUGUUGUAGGCUUUGUGGAAGUCUAACUUUAGGAAGACUGCGCGGUGGUGUUUGGAGCGGACUUCGUGGAGGACCUCGUGAAAGACCAACACCCCAUCCAAAAUGAACCGGCCUUGGAUGAAGGCGGAUUGGUUUGGGUGGAUGACAGAGUCCGCAAGAAGGGUCACCCUAUUGGUGUACCCUUUAGCCAAGAUCCUGAAGAUCACGUUGAUCACCGUGAUCGGGCAGAAUUGGCGAAUGUCGGAGGCCCCCGAAACCUUGGGGCUGAGGGCAAUGAUCCCAUAGUUUAAGCGCCCAAGGUCCAUGGUCCCAGAGAAGAACUCGUCGAAGAGGGCCAUGACCUCCGGUUUGAUGGUUUGCCAGAACGUUUUGAAGAACGAGACUGGCAAUCCAUCCGGACUCGGAGCCGAGGAGGGGUUCAUGCCCUUGAUCGCCGCUAGGACCUCCUCCUCCGAGAAGGGGGCCACCAAGGCCGCGUUGGCCUCGUCGGAAACUAGCUAGGCACCCGACCAGGUGUCGGGAGCCAGCGCAGCCCCACCCCGAGGGGUGGGGGAGAAAAGGGCUUUAUAAAAGCCGUCUACGUGGACUUGGAUGUCCGAGGGGCGAGUGAGCUGAGUAUCACCGUCCCACAGAGAGUGGAUGGAAUUCCGACGAUGCCGGCCAUUGGCGAUCGCCUGGAAGUAAGCCGUGUUAACGUCACCACGGAGCACCCACCACUGGGUGCCGCACAGCCUCCAGUAAGCCUCUUCGUCAAAGUAGAUGACCGAGAGCUCAUCCUCGAGAUCAUAUCUCACCAUCCACUCGUCUGGAGAGAUCCCGGACGAGUCAGCGCGAGCGUCCAGGGCCUGGAUGGCACACAUGAGGGCCUUCUUGCGCUCACGAAGAUCACGUCCAAAGUUCGUGCCCCAACCCUUCAUAAAUUGGCGGGCCAGCUUGGCACAGAACUGCCAAGAGUCAACGGCGGACAUGGCAUGGUGAGGAGCGUCUCGCGCGGCGAUCCACUUGGCCGCAACGGCCUUGCGGAAUCCAGCCUGGUUGAGCCAGAAGAGCUCAAACCGGAACCGAGGAGGGACGGGGGUGGGGGGGGCGUUCAUCCGCGGAGGAGAGGAGUAGGGGAACGUGGUCCCGAUCCGGGUGAUGGCCUGCAACGAGGCCAUGGGGCAUCUAAGCUCCCAAUCCGGAGAGACUAGGACGCGGUCCAGAACGGACUACAUUGGGUUCGCCUGGCGGUUGGUCCAGGUGAACCGGGCCCCCGUUCGCUCAAGCUCAUGGAGGCCAAGCUCCGCAAUGCAGUCGUUAAACAUCUGCAUCUGGGGACGGUUAACCCUGUCGUUAUUCUUCUCAUCCGGAGAGUGGAUGAGGUUAAAGUCACCUCCCACCACCACUGGGAGGGAGGAAGCGGAGAUCUUUUGUUGUAGCUCAGCGAGGAAGGUCGGGGAGCGGCGGUGGUCCGCCAGUCCGUAGACAAUGAUGACCUCCCACUUAAAAUUGAGAGCCCACUCGAAGAUCUCCAUACUAAUGAAGAACUCGCCCCGGUCCAUACCGCCCACCUCAAAGGUGGCAUCCUUCACACCUAACAGGAUGCCACCUGAGUGGCCAUUGUUCCCACUAGAAGGGAGCCAAUGCCAGGCAAACAGGUGGGAGCUAAGGCUGUCAAGCUCGGGAAGACAGAACUCCGUGCGCAUGGUUUCUUGGAUGGCAAUGAUGUCUAUGUGUUCGGCACGGAUGUACUCAACUAGCUGGCGGCGGCGGCCGUCAUGGCCAAAGCCGCGGAUGUUCCAGAAGAGGGCGCGCAUCUAAACCGCCAUAGAGGGGCUGCUUGACCCCAGGACGGUGGAUGCGCUGUGAGCUCUGAGCGCGGCAGUGCGGGAGCGAGUGCGGCCACGGAUUUCCUCGACUAGCACCACAGAAGGAGGCUGGGGCGCCGGCGUGCGGAGGAGGCGGGCCUGGGUUUCGGCGAGUUUCCCGUCAAGGAUCUCGCGAGCCUGAAUAGCCGCAAUCUGCUCUAAGGGGUGGGGGGCACUUCCCCCCUGAAAACUACAGCCGAGUCUAGGGCCACCUUGGCAAGGCGGCCGAGCGGGACCGCUUCAAGCGUAGAAAACGAACAGCUGGAAGAACUGGAGGGGAUGUCGGUCGCACCUGUCUCGAGGUUCCAGGCCGCAGCCCGGAUCUCAGCCCGCUCGGAGAUGGACGACGUCGGGAAGCUGGCCGGGCGGUCCGCAUCGAGACGGGCACUGCGGUGGAAGGCAGUCAUCGGAGUCGACGAGGCCCGAGCCCGACGGACGUACGACACACCGACCGAGGCGGGUGGGAGGCGACGGGGGUGACCACAUCAGCGGAGGCCACCAGGAGCAGGCGAGGCGGUGACGCAGGCGCCGGAGGCUCCAGCAGGGCACUGGACCCUGCCAGGGCAGGAGAGGGCGGGCCCGGGGCCGACGAGUCGAUCUCCGGGGCGGGAGCAGGCGCCAGGGGAGAGGCGGGGGACGACGGCGUGUCCUCCCCAGGGGGGUCCGCCGGGGGAGACCCGAGGCGAGGGGGGCCCGACGCAGGCGAGUCCGGCUGCAGCGGAGAAGGCACCGUCGGGGACGGAGGAGGCGGGGCGGCCGCGGGGACGGAGGACGGCGAACACGGCAAAGAUGCCGGGAGGACGAGGAGACUGACGUUGGAGAUGUCGCUGAGCUCGGCCGAAGAGGAGAGGGAGGAGACGGGCAGCGCGGCGGGGGCGGCCUCGGCGGAGGCCAACCCACGCGACCGGCCCGCAGCCGCACCCCCGCGACCCGUAGGGGGGCCCGAAGGGUCACGCGAGGGGGAGCGGCUGUAGCCAGAGUGCUCAUCGUCAUCCUCCGGAUCCUCGUGGCGGGAAGGGCGUGGACGGCGGUAGUGGGAGUCGUCGCGGUGGUCCGCACCGCCCCCGCCAAAGUGGCCAUCAGUGAGGUAUCGAGGGCGGCCGAUGUGGUUGGGAGGCUCAGGGUAGAUCUUGAGGUCGAAACCCUGGUCGUUGAAGAAGACCCGGACGGUGGCACGGAAGGUGGAGGAGUCAAGGCACUUGACCUUGACACGGACCUCCUCCUCCUUGAGGAGAGAGAGCUCGUCCACCACCACCACCUUGCCCAGGAGCUUGGACAUACUGCGGAUCACCUCCUCAGAGCAGGCGAUGUCGGGGAGGCCAGCUAUGACGAUCCAAGCAGUAUCCAACACGGCCACAACCUUAGGGUCCAACAGGGGCUCAGAGAUGUUGACAACGAGCUUGUUGAGGGCGAGGGUGAUGUCGUCGCUACGGGUGCAGAGGCCCAGGCUAAGAGCGUCGGGGAAGACCACGGUGAAGGAGCCGUUCGAGGUCGGAGUCACCUGCCAGUCGUAGACACGGCGGCAAAGGUGGUUGAGCUCGGCCUCGAUCAUCUCCGGAGAGGCGACCCCAGCCCCCACAAUGGUCACGACCGCAAGGAGUGACGAAGAUGGGGGGGGGACGUCCUCCACCUCGAUGUGGAAGAAGCCGAGACCCUCAAUGUCGUGGCCGUACAUCAUGAGCUACUCUGACAUCGGGCGAUCCGGGCAAAGAGCCACGGGGUGACCCGACUCCUUGUAGAGGUAGCACAUCGGCGGGUUGGGACACUCCACCUGGUAGUGACCGGCAAUGCCAGAGGAGGAUCGCGGGGGCCAUAGGAGACGGCCGCGGCCGAGGAUGCGGGAGUCGGGGCCGCGGAGUUGAGGGGGUGGUCGGGGCCCUUCCGCUUCNNNNNNNNNNNNNNNNNNNNNNNNNNNNNNNNNNNNNNNNNNNNNNNNNNNNNNNNNNNNNNNNNNNNNNNNNNNNNNNNNNNNNNNNNNNNNNNNNNNNNNNNNNNNNNNNNNNNNNNNNNNNNNNNNNNNNNNNNNNNNNNNNNNNNNNNNNNNNNNNNNNNNNNNNNNNNNNNNNNNNNNNNNNNNNNNNNNNNNNNNNNNNNNNNNNNNNNNNNNNNNNNNNNNNNNNNNNNNNNNNNNNNNNNNNNNNNNNNNNNNNNNNNNNNNNNNNNNNNNNNNNNNNNNNNNNNNNNNNNNNNNNNNNNNNNNNNNNNNNNNNNNNNNNNNNNNNNNNNNNNNNNNNNNNNNNNNNNNNNNNNNNNNNNAUGCGCUGGGGAGCGCCGGCCAUCCCGAGGGGAAGCACGAUGGCCAGGUGAGCGGCGGUCGCGGUCCGGGGAGCGACGCUCUGCGCGCGCCGGCGAGCGGCGGGUCUCACGGGCGGGGGACCGGCGGGAGGGAGGCCGGGAUGUGAGCUGCUGCCGGAGGUCGGCCUCAUGACGCAACCCGUCAGGGGAGGAACGGGGAGCGUCCCGGCGCUCGUCGCGGCCGCGCUUGGGCCGACCGGCGUGAUCGCCCCAGUUCCGGGCCAUGGCUGCAAGGGGAGGAGGGGGACGCUGCCGGAGCCGGAGACGAAGGGGCAGCCGCAAUCGCGGGGAGGGAAGGGGAUGGGUCGGGGCGGCGGGAGGGAGGCGCAAGGGAGGAGACCGGUUGGAUUAGGAACCCUAGGGUAGGCCAAAUGUGUGGCCUGGGUGGGCCCGCAACCACAGAUAGCCGCGACCCAAUACCGCCCGCACUCGCAGAGGGCCACACAGGCCGGCCCAUGGGAGGGCCCAAGAGUGACGGGCGGCCCAGCACCCGCGCGAGGAGGCAGGGUUUCCCAGCGCCGCCGGCGCCGGCGCCGGGGCAGGGCUGGGCGGGCGCGGCCGGAGGAGGGCACGAGAGGGCACCGGCGAACGGGGGAGGGGGGCGCCAAAGGCAGAUAUGGAAGGGCGAAAUGGCGAACGUCGCGACAUGACCGAGGACAGCGUCGGCCAUGCUAUGGCCGAGCUUGCGACCGGACCCGAGAGGGCACCAACGCACCACGACAGCCGAGCGGCGCCGUGGUCGGCGCGGCCCGUGACCCCCCAGCCCUGCAGCCGGCGACAGUGGCGGCGGCCCGACCCCAAUGUCGCCCCUUUACUCCCCGGCGACUGAGACGAGUUCAGCGUCCGGUGCCGGCGCCGGGCAGGCGGGCGGGCGGCCGAACUCCCACCCCUGGGAGUAAGGCCACCGGCGCCAUCCGGCCAUCGGGCACGGGCAGGAGCGGGAGGGGCGACGCGGUCGCGGCACACCACGGGGCGGCCGGCCUCGAUGUCAUCGGCCUCCGCUAGGUCAACCCAGAUGACCCGCGCGGGGGCAAGGGGCGACGGGGGGCGCGACGGGGAGGCGGGCGGCGAAGCCGCGGCGAGGAGGUCGGAGGAGGGAGGCGCGGCCGAGGGGGAGGGCGGAGGCGGCGUGGCAGGGGGAGACGCCGCGCCGGACGAGUCGCCCCUGGGAUCGCCAGCGCCGUCGCCAGAGCAGUCCGCCAUCAGGACCCGUCUCACUCCUUGGUCUAUUGCUCUAGUGCCCGCUCUGCUUCUUUUCUUGUUGUGGUAUAUAACCCCCAUUUGUGCUAUAUCGUCCCUGCUGUUCUUUGUUUAAUUCCAGCACUGCCUCUUGUACUAGAGCAUAUACAGUUGCAGUAUGAACUGUAAGAGGCAAUGAAUUUCAACAGCUGCUCUUAUAUCACCUUUCAAUCCAAGUACAAAUUGAGUAACCAAAAAUAUUUCACUGACAGACCCUUCAUAUAGUUUGACUUGGUACACAAGCUGAUUGAAAUUACUCGGAUAUUACUGAACAGUUCGAGUCUGUUUUAAAACCAACAGACCUCUCAUGCAAUCUCUAUGCACAUCGAGGUCAAAUUCCUGCAGCAUGGCCACAGAAAACUGACUCCAUGAUGAACAGUAAUCAGACAGUUUAUAUGACUGGUACCAGUGUGCAGCAUUUCCAUGUAAGUGCAGAGAUGCAGACAUUACUUUUAAGUUUUCAGGAGUUUGAUACAACAGGAAAUAAGCUUCAAUUAUCAAGUCAAAUUCGAAUUCCUUCCCCAUCAAACUGUGGAAAUUCCAUCUUAGGCAUCCAGGUGCGCGUGGAUCCAUGCUAGUCAGAGGAAGAAUUUUUUUGAGGUGUGUGUGAUACCUUUCCUGGAUCCACAGGAGGAAGCUGUCCAUGUUGCCCCCCUGCGAACAUGAACCCUUGGCUGCGUCGCCGCUGUGGGCGACACUGCAUAACAACCCUUCGCUGCCAUCCGCUCCAGAUCCGCGUCCUGAACACUGGUGGAUUCCUUUAACACUCGCGCCACAUGAACCUGUUCCUGAUGGAUCUCUCCAAUAGAGCUCACAAAUAUGUUUACUUCGGACUGCACCUGAUCCAGCCGAGCGACUUAUUCCUCAAACUUGUUGUCCAACCCAUCCAGUCGCGCCUUGAUUUCCAAAAUUCCUUCCACUUGCUCCUGCAGUAGCUGCAGAGCCGCAAAUGCCUGCGUUACGUUCUCCUCGAAUGACCCCAUCACCUCUACCUGGUGUCGUGUCUGAGCACUUGGCUUGAACGGCACCGUUGCAGCUUCCUCUGGAUUUCUCCAACGCCGAUCUCGGAUUUACAGCCAACCGCGUGAGCAAUCGACAACCGACCAGUCGAUGUUACGGAGAGAAUCUUGAGUAUGCGAAGCACAAGACGGACCUAUCUAGCUCUGAAUACCACUUGUCAUAUCCUUGCUGAGGAUUUCCUGCCCAGAUUUGGGAUCGAGAAGAGGAUACUUGGGAAGAAGAAGAAGAAACCACAGAAAUAGUAGGUAUGAGGAGAGAAAAUAUGAGCUAUUUCAUUUAGUCGCUGCCAAUUCCAGCCAACGGUCGUGCUUAUAUAUAGCUAAUAGAUUUUCACACACUCAGCCCCCAAAUGAACAUGACACUCGCAGAUGGCCCACUAGUUAUACAAAUAUUACCGAAAAAAGCUUUCGCCCCGCUUUAUAAAUAAAGCAACCACCAGAAGCACAAGGUCCAACAAAUGUUCACACCGCACAUGCACGCCAAAGUAGCAGACAACAAAGAAAGUAUAACAGAGGGUUCUGCUGAGGGCACAGCUCAACAAGCCCUAAAGAGAAAAUAAAAGGCGGCAACACAUUUCCCUUGGCGCUGCUCUCGACCGCCUUCAGCUUCCUCAUCCCUGGUUCUGCAGCCCUCAGGGCGACAGUACUGACAACCAUAAUUGGAAGGGUAUAAUCAAAUUGUAAUAUAUGUUCCCAUAAAAAGUAAGAGACAUGGAAAAUUGGUAGUUUUGAUCACCUUGCAGGUUGUUUUGUUAAGGUGGAAAAAUUGUAUCGGGUUCCUACCUGCACGCCUUGUUGAAUGCUAAACAGAAUCAUGUGCAUGGAUUAGUUUCCGCAAAAUAAUUCUACGUGUAUGGAUUGGUAGUUUGGACCAAUAUGGAACUGUGGCCAUGAUAUUGUCUUGAGAAUUAGGCAAAUAGUUAAUCCAUUAUGUGUUGAAUGUAGUGCAGCUGUAGCUCUUUUAUUCUCAUAUAGAAGUUCACCCUGAUGAUCGUCAAAAUUACUAUGAAUUCAAUUUUUCUGUGAAGAGACUUAUCUUUUUCACAAUCUAUUCCUGACCUGUCAAAAUAUUAUAUGUACUUCCGUAAAAUGGUUCGCAAGGUAUCAGAAUGAAAGUGAAGGGACUAAUUAGUGAAGUUGUAACUAACCACUAGAUUUUACUUAUUUCACAUUCUCUCUCUUUGCAUACAGAUGGCUAUGGGGCUCAAUUUUUCUAAAUUUGUUGGUUCCUGUGGUUAUCCUCAAGGAUAUUAAUUUCAGAUGGCUGAAGUGUUUUCUUUGACAGAGAAUGUGCUUCAGUAUUAGUGAGUGUCUACCUCUUUCCCAGUUAACCCUCUCUUGUCAUAGGAUUUCAUGAAAGAUAAUACCUUGCUGUGAAAAUUGUAGAAUGAUCAUGUUUUUUCUUUGUAUCCAGGGACUAAUCUAGGAUCUCUCAUGCCCGGGCUUGCCGACUACAUGAUGUCUUAUGUUAGAUGAUUAAUACGGUGAUUUUUAUGAAAAAACUAGCAUCUUACGCACCUUAAUUUGUGUUCUUCCUCGGCUUUCGAGAAGUUUCUGGGUCUGUCACUGUUUGCAUCCCUAUGAUUUUAAUGUUUUUAGAGACUCCCUAGAAAAUUUAAUGGUUAUUGAAUAAAAAUAAAAAGACCUAACCAUCUUAUUGGUGGACGCUAGUUUUAAUGGCUUGAAUUUAAUCUGGACUACUAAUCUACAAGAAAAUAAGAGGCCGUAUGUAAAAUAAGGAGGUUGAUAUAAUUUGGUGUGAUAAAGUUACUAGAAUUAUGUAAUUUGGUACGUUCUGACAUUGGUUUACUAAAUUAUAGUAUUUGUUCUCAGCAGUGCACUGUUGUUCUUUAGGCUCAGACAAUAUUGACAGAAUAAAGUUCAUUUAGUUUGAUUUAUAUUGCAAUUAAGAAGGAUGUUGGAUUUGCCAACCAAUGUUGCUGGGAUGUAGAUUUAUGUUUUUACCACCAUAUGGUCCAUUUUAUGGUAUAAAGUUUUUUAGUUGUCUAAAUUUCUCAAGUGUAUUUUAUGUUGGCUUAAUAAGGUUUGUUACAGCAAAUGUGAUCCUUUUGUAAUAUCAGUAUGUGAAUUUUUUUCUAUUUAAAUUUUCCAUUGUAUAAGCAUACCUACUCAUUUAGUUUACAUCAGACAUUUCUACCCUGACUAUGGGCUGCUUAAACUAACAUGAGUUUCCUUCCUACAAAUCUUUAUAUAUUGAAGUGUUUUUAGCACAUUAUUUGUUUAUAAUAACUGUGGGCAUGUACUGGCGAAGAAUUUGCAAAGGAUAACAACAUAUAUUGAUACUGAUAUACGGAGUAGAAUUUACUUAGCUUCUAUCCAUUUCCCUUAUUCAGCCACCCGUAUCACAUUCUUAUGAGUAAGCAUGGUUUGUAAAUACAAGUGUUCACAAAAAUAUUAAUGAUCGUGUCGUUUUUCAGGAAUUGCAAUGGACCAAAUUGUUGCCCAAGGCCUGGAUUCGAAACAUGCAGCUGUAAUGCUAAUCAAUCAUACCCAUUGCUUAUCAGUCGUAAUCAAUUCCUGCUUUUUCAACUUUCUCUUUUUUGGAAAAAGCGGAAGCAUUAUCGGCCAACUGAAAAGAGUAUGUUAUAAGUACAAUGAAAUCUGGGAAAAGAACUAUGGUAAUUCUUUCUCUUCUAUUUGACCUCCAUUUGUUCUGUCAUACAAUCUAACUCACAACAAAUUGGAGGAAAGUAAUUUAUUUUUCCCUAAAUUUAUUUCUAUAAGCAAGAAUUUCAUCCGCUUUAAAAAUAACUAUUUUAAAACAUAUGCCUAACUUUUCUUCAACAUUUCUAUUACUCCCUCAGUCCCUUUUUAUAAAAGUUAAACUUUUUUCUUAUCUUUGGCCAGUUUAUAGAAAAACUACCAAUAUGUACAAUAUUAAUUAAAUGAAAUAUUAAAAUAAAUUUCAUGAUGGAUCUAGCGAUACUGAUUUUGUGUUGUAGAUAUGAUAUUUUUCUAGAAACUCAUCAAAUAUAGAAAGGUCUCACUUUUGAAAAAUUAACACACUUCACAAAAAUGUACCGAGUGAGUAAUAAAAAAUAAACCGAGUGAGUACUUAUUUGUAGCCCUAUUUUUUACGGAAAUAUUUUAGAUAUUUUGUGAGCUUGUUAAUUAAAUUUGCCAUCCCGUGCACCUGCACGGGUUGACUACUGUGUCGGGGAAAAUAAGUCGUGAUGCCCAGCCUUCCCAUGCAGAUGGGAGACGACGACACAGCCGCCGCUCUUUUCCCCUUCCCAAACCCUAGAGUUCGAGGCACUGAUCCCCAAGCCAAGGAUUUGAUGCCGCCAGGAGGAGGUGAGCAUGGCUGCACGGAGCAGGACCACUCAUUGGCGACCGGUCGCCGUGACGAAGGCGCUCCGUCCCAUCCUAUGCCGCCGCCUCCCCUCAUUGUUCCCGUAGCUUCUGAGGUUUGUUCUUCGCCUGUUUCUUGUUCCAAUCUUUGACAUGAAAGGGAACCCGCUCGGGCGACUCGGGCGGAGCCCCAAAUCCCUAGCCGACAGGGUCGCCACACCUCCUGUCCACCCCUUUUGUCGCUGCUAGAGGAAGCUGUCGGGCGAAGCCCUGGUGGCUGAUUGGGUGGUGCGGGCACCCAAGGGCGCGGGGGCACAUCCCUCGGAUCUAGGUCACGGUGGAGUGAGGCGGUGUGGUGGUGGUGGGUGGAUGCGGCGGAGCCGCAAGGGCACCGUGGGAUGGCUGGUGGUUCGGCUGUGCUGGUGUCCCGCAGGGCCCAGUGGGGACCGGGUGGUUCGAGAUCGGGGGCGGGCGCCUCCGUGGUCUUCGGUCAGAUCCGCUCGGAUCUGUCCUCUGGGCGUCGGCGUGCGGUGUGAGGUCUUGGCAGCGGCCAUGUUGGCAACUGCGUGGGUGUGGGCUGCGACGGCGUGGUGGCGGUCCAUGGUGGUGGGGCGGGUCGGUUAGGGCGGCUGCGGGACAUGCUCCGGCGUCUGGCCGUUGGUGAGCUACUCUUGUGGAGGUCCCUAGGUCCUCUUGUGGCGACAUGGUGUGGCCGUUCGGGAACCUCCCGUNNNNNNNNNNNNNNNNNNNNNNNNNNNNNNNNNNNNNNNNNNNNNNNNNNNNNNNNNNNNNNNNNNNNNNNNNNNNNNNNNNNNNNNNNNNNNNNNNNNNNNNNNNNNNNNNNNNNNNNNNNNNNNNNNNNNNNNNNNNNNNNNNNNNNNNNNNNNNNNNNNNNNNNNNNNNNNNNNNNNNNNNNNNNNNNNNNNNNNNNNNNNNNNNNNNNNNNNNNNNNNNNNNNNNNNNNNNNNNNNNNNNNNNNNNNNNNNNNNNNNNNNNNNNNNNNNNNNNNNNNNNNNNNNNNNNNNNNNNNNNNNNNNNNNNNNNNNNNNNNNNNNNNNNNNNNNNNNNNNNNNNNNNCCAAUGCGGUCGGGCCACCCAUCACCGGCAGGGGUGCCGGUCGUCGACGUGGUCCGCUCCCGCUUCACCUCUUCUCCGACUUGGUGGCUCCUCGAUCGAUCUGGUCGUUCUGGUCGCUGGCGGCUUUGUCGGCGGUCAGAGUUUGCCAAUCGGCACAUCGUUGGCAGCCAUGGAGGACCCAUGGGGCGUCUUGUUCCCUGGGCGGCGGCCCAAAUGGUGGGAGCUCCUGCGAUGCUCGUGGGCUGAGCUCGUGGCUCAGGUGCAGGCGACUAGCGUCCAUGGCCGUGUGGGCGGCGUGGUGGCUGGUGUUUUGACGUUCUGUGACGGCGAAGGCGGCAUUGCUGCGGUGGCCUUGUUCUCUGCAAAUACUGGGAAUCAUAUUGUUUUGAGGAAGAUGAGUACAAUCUUGUCGUGUGCAAUCCUGCGACCAAGAAGUGGGCCGAGCUGCCUCCUAAUCCUAUACAAUUGCAAGACGAAGACGAAGAAUAUUUGUGUUUCGAUCCAGCCGUCCCCUCCCGUUUCAUGGUAUUCACACACACUUGGGAUUUCACAGAAGUGACAAUCUACUCAUCAGACACUGGACGAUGGACUACGGUGGAGAGUGGUUGGAUUGAUAAGACUCCUAUUGGUCUUCCUGUCUUCCUGAAUGGUACUUUGCAUUUGAUGACCACUGAAUAUUCAAUAGUCACAGUAGACACAGAGGGGAAGGUUUGGGGGCAAAUUGAUAUUCCAGGCAACAUGCGAGACAGCUCUGAUUAUCCGUUCAUUGGACAGUCUCAGGAACGAUUGUAUGCUUGGUGUAUAAAUGAUAAUGUUGAUGUUUGCCAACUUUUAGUUUGGGCUCUUGAGGAUUAUGGUGGUGCAAAGUGGGCCUUGAAGGAUACUGUUAACGUUUCAGAACUGUUUGGAAGGGAUCGUUACAAAUAUGUGGAGCCCUUAGCAAUUCAUCCAGAUUGUGAUUUGAUUUUCCUUACCGACCAGAGGGGGAAGGCUAUCUCAUAUGAUAUGGACAGCAAGAAAGUGCAUGUUAUCGGCACUCACGAAACAUUCUAUGGUGCUAUACCUUAUGUUCCAUGUUUUGCGGAAUGGCCGUCAGAUGGUCACUGACCUUGGUGGAACUAUAUAUUGUCUUCAUAGAAUUCAGCCAUGGAGAAUAUGCAACACCUAGCAACAGCUUCCAGUGGCUAAUGCUUAGUUGUAUGAAUGAGUCUAGGUAUUUGAUAUAUCGGCUGCCUCUAGUGCUAAUCAUUAUGGUCACCUGUUAGCUCUUGGUAUGGGGUAACUGUGAGGGUAUAUUAUCUAUUUUUGAAAUUGGUUGGAUUUUCACCUCUUUAUUUUCCGUUUAAGAUUGGAGAUGCUUAUCUCUUGUUGCAACUUGCAAGUACAUUUAUCUUUUAUGGACAACUUGUUAUCCAUCAGUUCUGAAUAUUGAUAUCGCCUUGUUCUUAUGCACAUGUUAAAGACUGGAGAUGCCUAUCUCUUGUACGUUUAUUAUUCUUCCAUUUUAUUUCACUUCAUUAGGGGAAGAGGAUUU
rnacentral:lncRNA from 1 species